UUCUGCUCAUAUCAAAACAUAUAUUUCGUGUUUUAAUACUUAAUAUAGGCAUUACAUUCAAUUAUUGACCAAAAAUUAGCCGCCAUCUAGCAUAUCGGACCCAGUCCAAGCCGAGUUAUUAUUGAUCAUUAGUAGAGUCUCCUGCUCUUUCUAUGAUGAUCCUUCCAUGUGGGAGGAAUUAUUUUUGUAAAUAAGAAAAAAAAUUAUUUAUGUUAUUUACAAUAAUAUUUAUUUAAUUUAAAUUUAUUUUUACUAUUAUUUUCAUUUUCUAACUGUUGACAAUUGAUCACGCUGUAAAAAAUUUAAUGGUGGUCUUUCACUUAUUUGUGUUCAUUUAUUUUGUUUUCAUUUAUUUCAUUUGAAAAAUUUGAGUGUUGGGGUUUUGUCAAUAACCCAUGGGUAAACCAUACCCAAACCAUAAUGAAAUGGUUUUCUACAUAAAACCCAUAUCUAACCAAUUUUCAUGAUUUACCCAACCCAAACCAUUUAAUUUGGUUUGAGUUUGGAUAAACCCAUGGGUUGUGGGUUUAUGCCCACCCCUAGUUGUGACCAUCAACUGCUCUAAUUUAACAAAAUCUACUGUGAAUUGCGGAUGAGAUGAGCUCAGUGUCAUUGUUACAGAAAGAACGUCUUAUGAAUGUCGGGAAAAUAUAUUUUUAGGGAAUGAAAAAUGUAAUAAUGGCAAACGUAGAGAGUUACAGUAAUAAUGAUUAUGCCACAAAGAUAAUGAGUCAAUUAUGUAAUAAUGACAAACAUAGAGAGUUGCAGUAAUAAUGGUGGAAUUUUUUUCUAAUAAAAUAAUGAGUUUACUACUCUGUAGGUACAACGAAAAUAAUAGUAAUAAGUAAAUUGUAGAAAUUAACGUGUAUUUCAAGGCACUUUACAAAUAUUACUUUCUUUAGACGUUAUUCGCCCCCAUCAAUUGAGUGAUGAAUAUGGGUUAAACAAAUACGCAUCUACGAUACAAUGAAACACUUAUUUAUUUGUUUGCAUUGGGUAUCGACAAAAGCAAACCUAAAUACUCUUGAAUGUUGCAAGCUUGUCAAGAAUCAAUAUAAUUGUUCCUGUAGUAAACAAUAUGUUGGAUAUUUAAUGCAUAAAAUAUAGAUGUUAUAUGAUAAAAUUCGUUUUAGAAAGGAGAGUUUAGAAAAGAGUGUUAUAAGAAUGUUAUUUUCAUGUCUAAAUGGCCUAAACAUGGCCUCUAUUUAUAAAUAUAAUUGUGCCCUCCAUUUGGAUUGUCAUUUUUCAUGAUACCCAUUCGUUUAUGGUCAUUGGAUCAAGAUUUGAUUUUAAUCAAUUGUCUAAAUAAGUACAUCACCAUUUCAAAUGAAAUGACAAUGUGAAAUGAUACAUUUUUAAGUGGAAAGAUACCUUUUAUAUGGGACAAUUACUAGGACAAGUUUUUAUAAUAAAACAUCAUUUAUUUUGAAAUUGUUACAGCCCUAAGAUUAUUCUAGGUUAAGUUAAUCUAUUAUGUAUAACUUCAGAAGGUUCAUCGGUAGAUUGCUUUAAGUUUUUGUCAUAGUUUACAAAUAUUUUGUUACUUAUAAUGUAAGAAAUUUUACAAAUGUUGGUGCUGAGUAAUCUGCAUAAUUAUUAUGAAUCAGAGAAACAGGGCAGAUGUUGUACAAUUAUUGUUGUGGUGGAGCGGAAAGUUAGCCCGGACGGUGACUGCUAUUGGGAUUUCUUUAAUUUGCAGCAUAAAAGCAUUUACAUUGACAUCGACUCAAGGGUAAAAAUUAAAUAUCUCAUGUAGCAUAAGAAGAAUGCAAAAAUGCUUGAAUGAGCAUUCUCACUGAAUACACAAAAGCUACUUUCCCUUGAGCACUUUCGCAACAAAAGCAAAUGUAAAAUGUAGCAUUUAAUUCUAACAUCAAAUGGUUGAUGCCAUCGUUUCCAUCCCUUGGGGAAAUUGAAUUCCUCUAUCUGAUAUUACAGUCUGGAGCGGCUCUUAAGUACCUCAGGCAACUUAGGGCAAUUUAGGCGGUUGCUCAGGGCCCCACAUUUAACCUAGGAUCCCAUUAUAAAUGAAGGUUUCUAAGUUAAUUCUUAAAUUAUAGUUAUUAAUUAUUGAUUUAUAUUUAUUAUUUAUAACUAUAUUUUCCAUAAACAAACUACUAGAUUCUUUCAAAUCCCCUUUUAAUAUUAUAAUUAACAAUUUUAAUCCAUUUAUUUCCUCCGUAUAUUUCAUUUAAAACUCUAUAAAGGCCACACCUUUUUUAAAUUAUUAUCCAUUAAUAUCUUUUUCCAAUUAAAGAAAAAAACAAAACCUUCAUUACUUUGGUGAAAAAACUACUUUCUCUACCUUACUUUUUGCAUAAGGAAGAAAAGAAAAUCAAUCGUUUUACUUUCUUUUGAUCAUUGUUGCUCAAAGUCUCAAUCCAUCAAAGUUAAAUUUCUCAAAUUUUCAGGUUUUAUCUUCCGAUUCUCUUAUUAAUUAAUUGUGUUAUUUAGGUGUUUUUGUUUCUUUGUAAAAAUAUUAUUCUGUUCAUAGGUUGUUUUCUUUUAAUUAUCUAGCAUAAUAGUUUGCAUGAUUACUCUUGUUUCAUUAGAAAAAAAAAAUGUCUACUAAAAACUAUGCAUCAUGAUACAAAAAACUUCAUAAAAGGAGAAGAACAGAAAAGUUAGUUUAAUCUAAAAAACAAUGCUAUUGAUAAAAAAAUAUUUAAGAUCACCCAUUUCAUAAGAAAGAUUAAAUAGGUUAACUAUAUUGUCUAUUGAGAAAGAUAUAUUAGCAAAAUUAGAAUAUAAAAAGUUGACUAAUAAUUUUGCAUCUAAGAAAGUUAGAGAAAUUGAUUUUAAAUAAAUAAAACUUUAAUAAAUUAAUACAUAUAUUUCACCUCAAUUUUUUUAGAAGGCCUAAUUAAAUCAAUUUAUUUAAGACCUAAAAUAUGAUUGAGCCGCCUUGAAAUUGCAGUAAGAUAGAAAAGUGAAAUAGACAGAACACUUGCUCAUACGUAAAGAUGCGACGAAUUUGAGAAUACUUAUUAUUAUGUGCCAAAUUCCUAAUGUGUGGGAAUUUAAAAAUGUUAGUGCAUAACAUGUGUUUAUCGGUGGAGUAGAAUCAGGGAAAUUAAAGAUAAGCAUAAUUUUUGCAUCCAAUGCCAAAUUCCCCCAGGGAGAGAGUGGGGACUCCUUUGCAUAAAAGUUGUUAAAAGUUUAUUGUUAAUAAUAAAAAUAACAUGCAGAUACAGUAUUUUAGGUUAUUGUUAAUAGUUUUACAAUAAUAAAAAUCAUUUUGUUAGAUCGUAAAAUGUAGUACUCAUACUCUAUUUUGUGCAAAAGUCUGCGAGAAAGGAUUUCAGAUUUACCUAACGGGGAAGUUGGGAACUUGCUUUUUUACCUAGGCUAAAAAUAUUUCAAUAAAUUCUGAUCGUGGAGACUACCUGAAACGACCCGCCCCGAAACCCCCCAGGCGAGUCUAUCUAGUUACAUCAAAACAGACUUAAAAAUAAUAUUAUACGUAAAGAAUCUGCUGAAAAUUCGACAGAGUCUCCUUUAUAUAUAUAACACUCCCAAAGUACAAAUAUGAAUAUACAACAAACUCCAGUGCUCAACAUACUCAACCAAAAAUACUGAGUUAUAUAAUAUACAACCCCAAAAGAACAAGAUGACCAAGAUGUCCCAACAGAAACAUUUAUAUACUCUAGCACCAUCACGUGGCCAAGACUCAAAAUAUAUACAGUCGCUGGGUCGGUCUGGUGUACCUGCAACCUCCUGGUGAGGGGGGGAAAAUAUAAUAAAAACGGGGUGAGUUUAAAACUCAGUGAGAUUAGUGAGUGGAUAGUAGGUUUGAAAAUUGAUCUUUACUUUAAAAGAAAUAAGCAUAUCCAAACACGGUUUCAUUAAACCAUAAGUGAGAAAUCAGAAAUAAAUCAUUAAAUAUUUAAAUCAGAUUACCAACCAUAGAAAUCAUAUCACCAAAUCAUAUCGAUUUCACAAAUCUGAAAAUCAUAUCUCAUCAUAUCUCUGCAUGCAUAAUCUAGUCCCCAAAGGACAAAAGCGCCCAAGCACACGGCCCAAAGCCUCUGUGUGUACUCAGACGGGCCCCAAAGGCCUCCUUACAAUCAGAGCGCGCACCUCCCUUAUUACCCCUCAGUUUGGCGGGCCUCCCUUAUUACCCCUCAUCUAUAUCACUGUACUCAUAUUCACAUACCUCUUUACCACAUUUUAAAUCAUACCACAUUUGAAUCCACUUUUCUUAACUUUCAAAUAAUAUCACACUUUAUUCAAAAUCGAUACGCAAAAUUAUUAACCAAACAUUUUCAUAUAAUAUCAACAAGUGAAUAAAAUCCAUUUCGAGAAAUCAUUAAAUCAGCACAUUUAAAAAUACUUAUUCCGCAACCAUGCUUUACUAUCAUAAUUAACUCUAAAAAUAAGUUUCGUAUAUUCCACUCACAGUGACGGUGUUCAUAGUCGGUUAUCGUCUACGUCCGCGGACCGGUUCUCGCUCGCGGAUCCUCCUAAAUCAAGGAAACGACAUAAUUAUUCUCCGUAAAUCGGAAUUCCGACUAAAUAUAUGCAAUAACUCGAAACGAACAUUUAUCCAUAAUUAACAACUCCCGUGACGAUAAAAUUACUAAAAUGCCCUUGAGUCCGUAAAUCAUUAACAUGCUCCGAAAUCGUAAAUCACCGAAUUAUCCUCGAAAUCGUAAUUACACCCAAUUCACAAUUCUAUGAAUUACUGAAAUAUCCACAGGCUCAGAAAUGACAAAAUUGCCCUCAUAGUGUGAAAUUACCAAAAUGCCCUUGCCGGUCAACGGUCACCGGAAUUUGGUCAACGCUGGCCAGGAAGCUCAAAUCUUAAAGUGCCAAUCACGCUGAGUUCAAUGGUACCGGCGGUGAGCUCCAACGCGCGGCAACGACGCCGGAAUCUAGCUCGACAGCCGUGAGUUCCAACAAUCGACCGGCAGCAAAACGACGACUCUCGGUGCCUAUGAAUGGUCGGAAAUGGAAGAGGGAGUCAUGAGGAACAAAAUCCAACCGGUGGUGUCACUCAAAACCGGCGAAAAUCUCGGCGGAGUAAAGUGAAGCAGUCGCGGGUUUCAAGCUUCGAUCGCCGGCGUUCCGGUUCGUUUUCGGCAGUGAGGAUGGCAGGGGAACGACGGUCGGCUUCUAAGCUUCAGAUCGGUACCAAGCUCGGCCAAAACGGUGGUCGGAAACGUGAAAUCCGUCCGGGUUAAAGUCGCGGGUCGGGUCGGAUCCGGCGGGUCAAGAUCGGGUAAGUUGGCAGCUUCUCUCUCUCUGUUUUGCACGUGCAUGUGUUUUUCCUCUGUUUCCAACAUAUUCCUUUGCUUAUAAACUCUUUCACCGCCUCAUGCCAUUUUACAUUCACAGGUAUUACACUACCAAGAGUUUUUUUUAGUCAUAUAUAUUUAUUUUUUAGGGACCAAUAUGAAUAUUACUAAUUUUAUCGAGAUUAUUAAAAAAACAAUGUGCUAAUUUACCAAUAUGAUUUCUCCAAUCUUUUUUCUUUUCGUCAUUUAUUCCUUUGUGAAUUUGAGUUAAUGCUUGAUAUUAUUUUUGUGCUCAUUUUUUAAAGUAGAAGAUUAUGAAAAAGUGAACACACAAAAAGCAUAAAAAUUAUUAUUAGAUCCAAAUUUGUGCUAUUUCAUACAUAACUUGAGAAUAUUUAUAAUUACGCAUCACAACUAGUGGAGUAGAAUCAGGGAAAUUAAACAUUCUACAGUCAUUGACGUGUGGGGUGGGGAUAAGCAUAAACCUUUUCUAUGCAGUAUAAAAGAGUGCAAUAACUCCUUUUCUUUCAGUAUCAUCGCAACAAAAGCACAUCUAAUAACUCUUCAGAAUUCUCGUCUUCUUUGUCAGAAUGGUUGAUGCAAUCGUUUCCUCUCUCCUGGAGCAGCUGAUCUCUGUUGCGGCCGAUAAAGUGAAACAACAGGUGAGGCUUGUGACUGGUGUCCGAGAAGAAGUGAAAAAGCUUACCAGCAAUCUUCAAGCCAUUCGAGCUGUGCUGGAGGAUGCAGAGCAAAGGCAAAUGCAGCAAGACAAAGCUGUUACUUUUUGGCUGGAUCAGCUCAAAGACGCAUCCUACGACAUGGAAGAUGUGUUGGACGAGUGGGUCUUUGCAAGGCUCAAAUUGCAAAUUGAGGGCGUUGAUGAUGACAAUGCUUUUUCCCUUGCUCCUCACAAGAAGAAGGUACGUUCCUUCUUUCCUGCUGUAUCAAACUGCUUUGGUAGUUUCAAACAACUUAGUCUUCGUCUUGACAUUGCUGUCAAGAUUAGGGAAAUCAAUGAAAAGCUAGAUGAUAUUGCCUCCCAAAAAGCUAGGUUUAAAUUUGUUGAAAAUGUGAGUAACCAUGUUAAAAAACUGAAACAAGCGCGAACCACCUCCUUGAUUGAUGAGGGAGAGGUCUGUGGUAGAGUUGACGAGAAAAACGAGCUCUUAAGCAAGUUGUUGUUUGAAAGUAGCGAACAACAAAAAGGCCUUCAUGUCAUCUCACUAGUUGGGUUAGGGGGCAUAGGUAAAACCACUCUUGCACAACUGGCCUAUAAUAAUGAUGAGGUGAAAAGAAAUUUUGAAAAAGUUAUAUGGGUGUGUAUCAGACACUUUGGAGGAGAUUAGGGUUGCCAAUGCAAUCAUUGAAGGUCUAGCCGAGUCAGCUUCUAGUUUAAGCGAAUUUCAAUCUCUUCUAAGCCAUAUCCAUAGAUCAAUUGAAGGAAAAAAAAAUUUUCUUGUCUUAGAUGAUGUAUGGGAUGGGGAUUACAAAAAAUGGGAACCAUUCUUCCUAUGUUUAAAGCAUGGUCUCCACGGAAGUAAAAUUUUGGUUACUACACGUAAUGAGUCAGUUGCACGUAUGAUGGGAUCAACAAAUAUUAUUUUCAUUGAGCAAUUGACUGAAGAGGAAUGCUGGUCGUUGUUCAAGCGGUUAGCAUUUUUCGGUCACUCUUUCGAGGAUUGUGAAAGAUUAGAACCAAUCGGGCGAAAAAUUGCACGCAGGUGCAAAGGCCUGCCUCUUGCUGCAAAGGUAAUAGGGAAUCUCUUGCGCUCUAAAAGUACAAUAAAAGACUGGCAAAGAAUUUUAGAUAGUGAAAUGUGGAAGGUAGAAGAGCUAUGGAAAGGUCUUUUGACUCCUUUAUUGUUGAGUUAUAAUGAUUUGUCGUCCAAUUCUAUGGUAAAACGAUGUUUUUCAUAUUGUGCUGUCUUUUUGAAAGACUACAAUAUGUAUAAAGAGGAACUAAUUUCACUAUGGAUGGCUCAAGGUUACCUUAAUGCAGAAGAAUAUGAAGAGAUGGAGAUUACUGGGGAAGAGUGUUUCAACAUUUUAGCAGCACGCUCUUUCUUUCAAGAGUUUGAGAAAAAUGAUGAUGAUGAUAUUAUGAGUUGCAAGAUGCAUGACCUAGAACAUGAUUUUGCUCAAUUUGUAAGUAGCAAUGAAUGUUUGUGGCUAGAAUUUAGUGGUACCAGAGAAUCAGUCAUAAACCCUUUUGGUGAGAAAGUCCGUCACUUAGGGUUAAAUUUUAAAGAAGGCGCUUCAUUUCCUAUGUCCAUUCAUGGACUUAAUAGAUUGCGUACCCUCCUAAUUGAUGAUGAAAGUCCUUUCAAUUCAUCUCUUAAUAAUAGCAUCCUUCCAGAGUUAUUUAGUAAUUUGGCGUGUUUGAGGCCAUUAGUUAUAAGGCAAUCAUCCUUGCUUUUUCGUUAUCCCCCAAAUGGGAUUAGAGAAAUUCCAGAAAAUGUCAGAAAAUUGAUACAUUUGAAAUGUCUUAAUUUGUCUGAAUUACACAUAAAGAGACUACCUGAGACUUUGUGUGAAUUAUAUAAUUUACAAAAGCUAGAUAUUAGGGGGUGCCGAAAUCUAAGAGAAUUGCCUGUGGGGAUCGGGAAGUUAAAGAACAUGAGGAGUUUACUAAAUGGUGUUACUCGUUCGUUGAAGUACAUGCCAAUAGGGAUUUCCAAAUUAACCAGUCUUCGAACAUUAGACAAGUUUGCUGUGGGUGGAGGUGUUGAUGGUGGCAGUACGUGUAGGCUUGAAUGUCUGAAAAAUUUUCGACUCAUUCAAAAAUGUGGAAUAGAAGGGCUGAGUAAUGUGUCACAUUUAGAUGAGCCUGAGAGAUUAGAACACAAAAAUAUGGAAAACCUCCUUCAUUUGUAUCUUUUGUUUGAAGUUGUAGAUUAGGAAGAUAAAGAAGAGGAUGAAGAUGAAGGUGGGGAAGAUGAAGGUGAAGAUGGAGGAUAUGAAGAAGAAGGAGGUGAAGUUGUAAAUGUGGAAGAUGAAGAAAGGAGGAGGAAGAAUGAGAAAGAUGAACAACUUCUUGAAGCCUUAAGCCGCCUUUGAAUGUAGAGGAAUUAUGGAUUUUAUUAUAUGGAGGCAGCAUUUUUCCCAAAUGGUUGACUUCGCUAACCAAUCUAAGGAAUUUAUUUCUUCACGGGUGUCUUAACUGUGAGCAUUUGCCUCCUCUGGGAAAAUUGCUUCUGGAAAAACUCGCCCUGCAAAAUUUGAAUAGUAUAAAAAGAGUGGGCAAUGAGGUUUUGGGAAUAGAGGAAAGUAGUGAUGAUGACCCGUCUUAAUCUUCAUCAUCAUCAUCAGUUAUUGCCUUCCCCAAAUUGAAAUCACUCAAAAUUUGGGACAUGGAAGAAUUGGAAGAGUGGGAUUACAGGGUUACGAGGAAGGAAAACAUCUCCAUCAUGCCACGUCUUUCUUCCUUGGAAAGGUGUUGCCAGAUGACCUUCUUCAAACGUCGACACUGCAGGAAUUGAGUAUUGGGGGAUGUCCUAUUUACUUCAGUGUACGAUAAUUUGUUACGUGAAACUUCUUGAGAGACUGAAUUUCUGGGGUACUUUGUAGUAAUGUUGAAAACUAAGUGAUGGCUGGGUCUGCUCUGUUUCAGUUGAGGAUGGUUUGCUUCCUGGAAGACAUGCUGAUUAUUAUUGCAUGAUAUUAAGGUGCUGAGAUCAUCAUUUCUAUCUUGUUUCUUUCUUUGAUCGGUUUAUCCUCUAUAAGCAUAUGGAAUUAUGCUAGUAUUAUCACUUCUUCACUCAAUUUUCACUGUUGGUUGUAAUAACCAUUUCAGGUUCUCAAAAGCCUCAAAGCAAAGCAUCUUUGGGCUGAUCAUAUAUUUCAAUUGACGAAGCAAUUCGAUGUUGGCACUAUUAUGCAGGUAACCAGAGUUGAUAAUUUGCACAAAUUUGCAUUGUCAGAAUACCCUUCAUAUUCACUGUGUUUCUUUGUGUAGGUAUGUAGAGUAUCAUCUUCAAGGGUUGUAAGAGCCUUUGCAGUAAAUUUAGCUGCUCGUGCAAUUGCUCAUUCAUCGGAGUACAAUUUUGGAUUUUCAAGGUUUGUAUGCUCAGUUGUAAUUAAAAUGCUUAGUCACUUAUUCCUAAUCUUUCUGAUUUUCAAGUUGUUUUAGGUCCAUAAACAGUUUUCAAACAUGUUUCAAUGCUUCUUGUAAUGACAAUUUCAUAUCUUGCAUCUCUAACGUGCAUCACGUUUGAAACAGCUUUCGCGGUAAAGUCUUCGAUGCUUCUACAAUGGCUGUGAAGAGGCACAUUAAAUUCGGUACAUUUUGGUACGGCCUCCCAAUGCUGGUAUAAUGUUGUGUAUAUUUAGUUUGCAAUUAAAACUUAGGUAUACAAAUCUUAAUCUGCAAUAGAUCGUAGUGUACAAAGUUUUCUAUUAAUGAUAUGGUGACUGAAAGUUUAAUUAUCUUAAAAUUUUUCUAUGACUCUCUUUUACUUUCUUUGUACAGAGUACCUGUUUUGGCUGAUGUGUCUAAUUCAUAGAAAUUCAUUUCCAUCGGUUUCCAUUGGUUUGAGCACAAACAGAAACAGAGGUCUGAGGAAAAGUUUUAUUUCUUGCGGUAUUAUGCCUUUGUUUCUUUAUUCACCAUAUUUGUUCGAAUUCAUGCCCUCAUUAAGAAUUUAAAGCCUUUUCCAGGCAGCUUUGUAGGCUACCUUAUGAAAUUGGAAAGUUAUUAUUGCUUGAAUGCAAGCACCGUCUUCUGUUGCGAAGGCUUUCCCCACAUGAUGAGAUGCUGUGAUUGUUACCGGACCCUUAAUUAUUUAACUCAGGAUUUUAUCAUCAACCACAUCAUCUUAUUCACCAUUUUGGAUAUAUAUAAAGAUUAAAAUUUCUAACAGUUGUUUCGGAUUCUUGUGUAAUCAGAUAAAUGGGGCAAAUGUCAGAACAAAGAUUGUUCAGUGUUGCUGGUAGGGCAAGGAUGAUGAUGGUGAGGAAGAUUGUUCACAAGCCAAGUAGAGCUAGGGAUGGCAAAACAUCGGGUCGGGCUCGGGCUUGGCCAAACCCGACCCGACCCGAUCAACAAAGAAUUAAAGCCCGACCCUAAAAAAGCCCUACCUAUUUAUAAUUAGGGUUGGGUCGGGCUCGACCCGAAUCGGACCAACCCUACCGAAAUCUAUAAUAGCAACAGCCACCACAGAGCUAUUUUCCAAAUUCACCAAAUCGAACUCUGAAAAUCCAAUCAAACUUUGGCUUAUAAAGCCAAAAUCAUUGCUUAAUUAAACCUAUACAGAAAAUAAUACUUCCACUCGCUGAAGAUUUUCCUCGAGUCCUCAUAUGUUUCUCUGUUUACUUGUCUACGAACAGCAAACAAGAAGUUUGCUAUUUCAUAUCAGUGUCGCACAAUAAAAUAAUUAAUUAAACAAAUUAUUAAAUUUACAAAGAAAUCAAUCCCUAAGCUGGUAUAGCAUCCACUAGACUACUCUUUUUAAUCGUUAAUUAAUAAAUAGUUACUGAUCUAUAACAAAUUCUUUCCAUCACCACAAAAAUAAAAUAAAAAUUCAUUGCCAUCUAAUUGGAUUAUAAGAUACAAUAACAAUUGGCAAUUGUAUUGCCAUCUAAUUUCAUUACCUAAACUUAAUUAUAAGAAACAAAUUGGCUGCUGGAAUAGAGGACAUAAAGAAGUCAAAAAUUGAACUUACAAUUUUGGUCAUAAACUUAAUUUGAACUUACAAUUUUGGUCGGAAAUAAUUACAGAACCGAUCGAGAGUAUUGCUGGUUUUAUGGGUAAAUAAAAAAUUGUAUGCAGUGCGGCGACGGGCGGCUGGCUGGUUCACUCACGUCGCGGCGUCGCGGACGGUCACGAUGGCGGAUUGGCGGUGAGANNNNNNNNNNNNNNNNNNNNNNNNNNNNNNNNNNNNNNNNNNNNNNNNNNNNNNNNNNNNNNNNNNNNNNNNNNNNNNNNNNNNNNNNNNNNNNNNNNNNNNNNNNNNNNNNNNNNNNNNNNNNNNNNNNNNNNNNNNNNNNNNNNNNNNNNNNNNNNNNNNNNNNNNNNNNNNNNNNNNNNNNNNNNNNNNNNNNNNNNNNNNNNNNNNNNNNNNNNNNNNNNNNNNNNNNNNNNNNNNNNNNNNNNNNNNNNNNNNNNNNNNNNNNNNNNNNNNNNNNNNNNNNNNNNNNNNNNNNNNNNNNNNNNNNNNNNNNNNNNNNNNNNNNNNNNNNNNNNNNNNNNNNNNNNNNNNNNNNNNNNNNNNNNNNNNNNNNNNNNNNNNNNNNNNNNNNNNNNNNNNNNNNNNNNNNNNNNNNNNNNNNNNNNNNNNNNNNNNNNNNNNNNNNNNNNNNNNNNNNNNNNNNNNNNNNNNNNNNNNNNNNNNNNNNNNNNNNNNNNNNNNNNNNNNNNNNNNNNNNNNNNNNNNNNNUGUUAUUAGAGUGAGUAGAAAUUAAGCACAUAUCUGCGAUUUGGGUUGUCGGUGAAUGUUUUCCUUUAAUAUUUGUACACACCCAUUUCUUAGUAAAAUUUUCUUCAUGUCUAUUACUAUGACAUAGGCUAAUAGCCGUACCAUAUAACAUUAUCUUCUUAUUUCUUUAUGCUUGGUUUUGCUACAUAUCAUUUCUGUACAUUCAAGAAUGCAAUUUUGUAACUACUUAACUCUGCUUCGGCAAAGUUAAGUAGUUACAAAAUUCUUUUUUUUUUCCUUUUUCUUUCUCCGAUAAAAUUGCCACAAAUGGAAGCGAUUGGCUUGAUUUUUGCUUCUGUAAAAAGUGGUGGGAGCAAUGUCUUGUGUACCCGCAAGUUAUAAAUCGUCAUAGUUUAAAUGAAGAAUCCAGAGUUGCCAUCCAAAACUAAAGAAAUUGCAAAUUAAGUAGUUCAUUACAAAUGAUAUAUUUUGAGUUGCUAAUUAUUAAGUAUUUUAUUCAAAAAUGUUCUCGUUCCCACAAUUCCUAAUGUUUAAAGUGCAUCAUUGCUCUACUUCCGUCAUAACAGCAUAAGAGAAUUUAACAUAAUACUAAGAAAAUGAUUAUUUUACCCUAAAUGUAAAUGAUUAUUCUACCCUUGACAUAAAAUAACUAAUUUGCCCUAAUUUAAUAACGAAAAAAAUAGAUGACUGCAAUAUAGAUAUUAAAUAAUAAAUAAAAUAAAAAAUCAGAAUUAAGCUAAUUUGUUCAAGACAAUAUCUUUAGUUGGCAUGUAAUUUUCAUUAGCCGGCGUCUACUCUUAAUUUAUGUCAAAUUAAGUAAUCGCUUCGCCCCAAUAAUGUUGCCUUUGAUCUCUCAGCCCCAGUAAAAGAAUUGGCUGAAAGAGAAUGUUGGUCACUGUUUAAGCAAGUAUGCUUUUGGCGGUCCUUUGAGGAUCUUCAAAAUUUAGAACCAAUCAAAAAUAAAAAAUUUCAUACAAGUGUAAAGGCUUGCCUCUUAAUGCAAAGGUAAUACGAAGUCUCUUGCUGACAUAUACAUCCUUUACUUUAUAAUCUUUUACUUUUGCUCUUAAGCUAAAGCAUUAAAAGGCCCCAUAUCCACUCUUUAUAUAUAUAUAGGGAGAAUGACAAUUUUCUCCCAUACUAUAAUCAAUAUAUAUCAUUUACGUCCUACUUUUUUAUAAUAACCAAUAAUCCUUGGAUAGCAUAAUUUAACAAUAUUAUUUUUGGUUUAUUUUAAUUUUUGUUCAUUUGAUUUCAUAGUAGUAGUUUUCAUUUUUUUAGUUUAAAAUUUGUAAAAUGAACUAAAAUGAGAUAAUUUUGAAAAAGAAUCAAAACAAAAAAAGGCCCAAAAUUACCCCUGUUCCGAACAUUAUCUGAAUCCAUCAUAAUUGACCCAAAUUCAAAUUUAACUCAAACCCAACCUUGGCCUCAUAUAAUUAUAACCUGAUCCGAUCUAGACUCAACCCCAAAGUUUUGAUUUGAUCUAAUCCAAUUCGAAUAUUCCAAGCCAAUCAACCUAAAACCCAAUCAAGUUGAUCCAAACCCAAAUUUGCGCACUCCUAGAGGGGACCAUCACCCUAUAAGCUUUGAAUUUUUUUUGAGGUUUUUAAAUGAAAUAUUCAAAAUUAGGUAUAAAAUGACUGAUUUGCCCUGGAAUACUUGAUACAUAUAAUGAAACUUUAAUUGUAUAUUUUGUGAAAUAAAAUCAAUUAAACCUGAUUUUUUUAUUUGUUAAUUAUUUUUCAUAGCCUUUUUUAAAAGUUUGUAAGUUUGGGCCUACCUCUUUGAUUUUUAUUUUGUUCAUUUUGCUUUCUCUUGCAACAAUAGUUUCAAAUACCAGUCACAAAAUUCUCAAAUUUUGGAAUACCCUACAUACUAGCUAUAAAUAGAAAAAACUGAAUAAAAUUAAUCCCCAACUAACACUUGAAAUUUGAACUUGGGCCUCAUGAAGAUUUACUCAGAGCUCCGCCCCUGAUAUGCAAUAAAAUAUUAGUUUUGCUAGUGAAAUUGCCAAUUAUGUUUUUUUUUUUUGUAUUUUCCGCUUAGGGAAGAAGAAAUUUCCUACAACUAUUGUGGUGAAUAUCUUGUGAAUUUAUGACAGUUUAAUCUUUAGUUUGCCACUUGCUUAAAAUGAAAAAGGGAAAAGGGUAUUUAUAUCUCUAAGGUUUGGAGAAAUAGUCACCAACACUACAAGUUUUUUAAAAAGGACAUCAAGACUCCUUUUUGACCACAAUACCCUUUACCUUUAGUAUCUCGAAAAAUUUAACUUGCAAAUGAAUAAAUACAAAUAUUAUAUAAAUAAUGUAAUCUACGUUGUAGAUUAAUAAUAUUAAAAUAUUAAAAUAAAUUUAAAUAUGUAAAUUAAUAUAUUUAUUUAAUAAUAUAUUUGUAUUUAUUGUAGAGAUUUUAAAUAAAUAUUUGCAUUAAAUACAUUUUACAAUUAAAAAAGUCUCACAUACUAAUAAUGUUAAAAUUAUUAUUUUACAUAAUAAUUUAAAUUUUAAUACAUUUAUUUUAAUAUUAUGUUUACAUUUAUCAUAAAAUUUACUUUAACAUAAUAAAAUAUAUUAAUAGAUUGUAAAAUAUUAAAAUAUUUUUAAAUAUUGAAAUUAUUUUAAAAUGUAUAAAUUAUUACAUUUAUUUUAAUAUUAUAUUUCUCUUUACUAUAAAAAAUUAAAGUUAACUUUUGGGAUAAUAAAGGUAAAGGGUAUUGUAGUAAGAAAGAAGUUUUAGUAUCUUUUCUUGAAAACUUAAGAGCGUUGGUAACCAUUUCUCCAAACUUUGGGGAUAUAAAUGUCUUUUUCCUAACAAAAAAUGACAUUUUUAAUAGGAAAUAUAAUAAGCUUUGUUCUAUAGAAAAAUCCAUCAGAUAUAUUAUGCCCCCGGUUGCUAUGUUAAAAAUAAGUAAUUCUUCUUUUUGUAUAUUAAAAUAGUAAAAGGGUGGAUAAUAUUUAAAUUUUUUUUUUACCUUUUAUCUUUUUUGACAUUCGAAUUUUAAACUCGAGAAAUAGACUUCCUGAGAGGUUAACUAAAUUCUUAGUAAUUUGAUAUAAUUUCAUAACCGUUCUCCAAAAGCAAUUUUAUAAAUCAUUGUGGAAAAGCUUUAUUCCUUAGUUAUCUUUCGCAUAUUUUCUUUGUAGUAUGAUAUUUAUUAAAAUCAUUAUGGGACUGAUUUUAUUCUCUUUUUUUUCUCAACAAAAUAUCCGACUGCAGAUGUAAUAAAUUACUAAUUACAAUUAUUUGAGUCCCACUCUAAAUUAGAUUUUGAAAUAAAGUUACAUUCUCAAAUGACCAAAUGAAUUAACGAGUCUGACAAAAAGAUGUUGUCGGCCAAGUUGAAAAAUAUAAUAAAUAAAUUGUCAGGAGAUGAUUUUUUCUGAAAUUUCACUUUCAAGGUCCAGAACACAUUCAAAUUUCCGUUGAAAUUCAUAAUGGAUUCAUAUGAUCGGGCGAAAUUACACUAUACAAUUUCAUCAAUACCUAUUAAACGAUAAAAAAUUUAUUGAUUAUUUAUAAUUAAAAAAAAUCUAUCUACUAAGACUAUUCUAGAUCAACAAUUAAUAUAUUAAAUAUAACUUCAGAAGGUUCAUCGGUGUAUUGAUCUAAGCCUUUUGCAGUAGUUUAUAAAUAUUUUGUUGCUUAUAAUGUAAGAAAUUUUACAGGAGUUGAUGCUGAGUAGUCUGAAUAAGAAAAUUAAUUAUAUUGUAAGUUAUUGGGUAUUCAUAAUAAAAUAAACAAAUAAAAAAUGAAUAAAAAUUUAAAUACUUAAUUAAUUUUUAUCAAAUUCUUAUCAAAUAUUUAAAAUAUAUAUAAAAUCAAUUAAUUGAUGAUGUUGUUAAUUUUCAUGAUAUUUUUAAUAUUAUAUUAGUGAUUAUUAAAUUUAAUACAAUCAAUAAUGCUAUAAAUUAUUAAAUGGUUAAUUUUAUUGACAAAUUAUCAAAUAUGCAAAUAAUGAAAAAUUAAUCUCAAGAGUUGGUAGAAGUAAAGUUCCAAUUUAAUCAGAUGAUAGAUAAUAAAUAAAAAUAAUUUUUAAGUAAAUUAUAAAUUAAAAAAUAAUUAAUAUUAAGUAUAAAUAAACAAUAAUGAUAGAAAUUAAAGUCUCAUAAGAGUAUCUCCAAAAGACUCUUCAAAUAAGAUUCUACUUCUUAUUUGAAGAGCCAUAUCAAUAUUUAACACUCCAAAAGACACGUUAAUUUAGAUUCUUCAAAUAAGAUUUGUUUCUCACUCUUCAAUAUUGCCGAGUGAGUUUCUCCCUCUUCUAUUAAUAUUUUAUUAUUAUUUAUUGAAAAGAUAAGACUGCAAUAAUUAUUAUUUAUGUUUCUUUUAAAAAAUAUAAUAACAAUACAAUUUGAUAGUGGGAAAAUUUGAUUAAAAUAAUAUUAAUUUAUUCUUAUUUGGUGAGUCUUUUGGACGGGAUUAUAUUUUUUUAUACACUUAUUUGCCACAUCAGUAAGCAAAUUGAAAUUUAAAGAGUAAAAUUUAAAGAUCCUUUUGGAGAUGCUCUAAAUAGAUAACUUUUUUUCUUUAAUUUUAUCCCAACUAAAAUCAUGUGUAAAUUAGAAUGAUUAAUCCCAUAAUUGUAGGAUGAAACUUAAAUUUAGUCCCCGAGUCCAAUUCAAUUAAGUUUAACAAACAUGAGAUAAAUAUUUAAUCACAAAAUUAGUCCAAUUUCGUACUUAAUCCUAGUAUAUGAACAUGGAUUGAUAAAAUAAUUUAGGUAAUAUGCUUCUAUGACUUACAAUUUAAAUAAAUUUGAGAAUUUAUAUAAGGGAUGGAAAAUUCAUAAUAAUCAUAACAUGUGCUAUCUUUUCUUCCUUUUCUUAAUUAAAUAAAAGAAAAAUAUUCAUCACAGAACCACCGCUGUUUAAAAUGACCCGAUGAUCGAUGAAGUCGCAUUCGCCUAUCUAAUAUUGCGCAAUCAGAUAAAUUCUCAAAUUUAAAAUGAAUUUAAUCUGCAAUUAUAUCAAUAACUACACAAUAAAGAUUAAAAAAUUUCAAAUUAUACUUGAGUUAAAAUUUAAUUCUUUUUUAUUGUUUAAAGUAAUUUAUUUAUAAUUAUUUUAACCCAAUUAGAUUUAUUUUUUUUAAUGCUUGUUCUAUGACAGAAUUGGUCCUCAAAGUUUAAUUAAGCUUGAGAUGGAUACUCUCAGCAAUUUAUUACCUAUUUUAUUAGAAUCUAAGAGGAAAAGAGAGUUGCGAUUUGUAUGUGUAGAAAGAAAAUGUCAAAACGAAAUGUUAAUGUCACUUGUAGAGAGAGAGUUGGGACUGAUGACCAUAUACAUUUUUCCGCCCCUAAUAAGAGCUUGCUUGACGAUAGUGAAGAACUAAUGAGACUGAGGAUCUGCAAUUUAGUCAUGAAAAAUUAGUGACUAAAUACAACUAAAUUUCAGUUUUCUCUUUCUAAUUUCUUUGGGAUCCAGAAAAAAACAUUUCCCCCUCAAUUUUCUGUUUGCAAGGGGGUAACUGUAAGCACAGUCUGAUUUUAUUUUCAGGGAAUAAUAUCGGUGAACCACCGUCGGGAAAAAUUUGAAGUCUAAACAGGUCAUUCACAGAUAAGGCCAAAGAGUAAAACAGGUCGUUCAUCGUGCGUUUGGAUUCCUUUCAUCUUGUUAAUUAUUGAAGACAAGAUGAAAACGCAACUAAUGGGGGCCGUGUAUGGUGUAUAAAAUAGCAUUAAUUGUUGUCUGUGUUUGUUGUUUAAUGCUAUUUUAUACACCAUACAUGGCCCCAAUUCCAAUUAGGGGAAUUCAAUAUUUUAAUUUUUUGCAAGAUGACUUUCAUCUAUCUCAUUGGCAGGCCGGCCAAGACAGUAAUCAUCCAUUUCAUCUUAUGAAUUAUUGAAGACACGUAGCUGUUCGACGCCUGCACUUUUCAAAUCUGAAGAGCAAUUAGACAAUAUUUCUAUUUCAAAUUGGGGCCACACUCCAAAAACAUUGCAAUAAUUCUCUGUUUUAUACCUAAUAUUGCGCAAUCAGAUAGAAAAAAGGGUCGGCUGCAUGAUUUUUCCAACUUUUGUUUUAUUUUUUCUCUUUUCCACGGGCAUGGGCCCCGACCACCACAAAAUAAUUUGAGAAUGUUAUAUUUAACAAUUCUCUUUUUGUCGUGACAUAAUGGACUAAAACGGAAUCACAACUUUUUCAAAUGACCAAAUGGCUUCGCCCAACGUGAUAAUAAAAGGCCAUAUAGAUGAGAAAUGGAUCCAUACGUUAAAGCUAUAUUGAAACAUAUAAUAAAUAAAUAGUCAGGAGAUGAUUUUUAUCAAAAAUUUCACUCGCACGGUCCCGACCAAAUACAAAUUUGUGAUGAUAUUCAUAAUGAAUUUAUACAAUUAGGCGAAAUUACUCUAUAUAGUUCCAUCGAUAUAUAUUAUAUCAUUAAAAAUAUACUAAUAUUUAUAAUAAAAAAAAUUUAUGACUAUUCUAAAUCGACUGUAUUAUAUGUGAACUCACAAGAUUCAUCGAUAGAUUGCACUGAGCUUUUUGUUGCAGUUUACAAAUAUUUUGUUACUAAUUAUCUUAAGAGCGGCAAGUAACUAAAUACAAAUGUAAGAAAUUUUACAAGUGCUGAUGCUGUGUACUCCGCAGAAAGCUAGCCCACGACGGUGACUCCUGUGGGGACUCCUUCAAUUUGCAGCACAAAUUGACAUUGACUUGAGGGUAAAAAUUAAAAUAUCUCCAAUUAGUAUAAGAAGAAUCCAAACAUGCUUGAAUGAACAUUCUCUCAGAAUACAUAAAACCUACUUUUCUCAGAGCAUUUUAGCAGCAAGAAAAGCAAUUGCAUCAUUUACCAUUUGAUCUAAUAUCAGAAUGGCUCAUGCGCUCGUUUCCUCUCUCUUGGACCAGCUGAAUUCCAUUGCUCAAGAUCAGGUGAAAGAAAAGUGGAGGCUUGUGACGGGUGUCGAACAAGAAGUGGGAAAGCUUACCACCAAUCUUCAAGCCAUUCAAGCUGUGCUGGAAGAUGCAGAGCAGAGGCAAAUGAAGCAGGACAAAGCUGUUACUUUUUGGCUAGAUCAGCUCAGAGACGCAUCCUACGACAUGGAAGAUGUGUUGGAAGAGUGGAUCACUGAAACACGGAAAUUGCAGCUUGAUGAGCGAGGCGAUGAUGAUGAUGAUGAUAACGACAGUGCUUUUGUUACUUUUUUGACGAAGGUAUGUUCCUUCUUUCCUGUUGCCUCAAACUGCUUUGGUGGUUUCAAACAACUCAGCCUUCGUCAUGAUAUUGCUGUCAAGAUUAGAGAAAUCAGUGAAAAGCUAGAUGUUAUUGCCAGACAAAAAGAUAGUUUCAAAUUUGUUGAGAAUGUGAGUAACAAUGUUAGGAAACCAGAGCGAGUGCGAACCACCUCCUUGAUUGAUGAGGGAGAGGUUUUUGGUAGAGUUGAUGAGAAAAGUGAGCUAUUAAGCAAGUUGUUGGGUGAAAGUAGUGAACAACACCCUCAUAUCAUCUCACUGGUUGGGUUCGGGGGUAUAGGUAAAACCACUCUUGCACAACUAGCCUAUAAUAAUGAUGAGGUGAAAAGAAAUUUUGAAAAAGUUAUAUGGGUGUGUGUAUCAGACACUUUUGAGGAGGUUAGGGUGGCCAAAGCAAUCAUUGAAGGUCUAGGCGAGUCAAAAGAAGCUUCUGAUUUAAGCGAAUUCCAAUCUCUUAUGAGCCAUAUCUAUAGAUCAAUUGGAGGAAAAAAAAUUUUUCUUGUCUUAGAUGAUGUAUGGGAUGGGGAUUCCAAUAAAUGGGAUCCAUUCUUCUUUUGUCUAAAGAAUGGUCUCCACGGAAGUAAAAUUUUGGUUACCACACGUAAUGAGUCAAUUGCACGUAUGAUGGGAACAACAGAGUCAGAUACUAUCUCCAUUGAACAACUGGCUGAAGAGGAAUGCUGGUUGUUUUUCAAGCAGUUAGCAUUUUUUGGUCGCUGUUUCGAGGAUUGUGAAAAAUUAGAACCAAUCGGGCGAAAAAUUGCAUGCAAGUGCAAAGGCCUGCCUCUUGCUGCAAAGGUAAUAGGGAAUCUCUUGCGCUCUAAAAUUACAGUAAAAGAGUGGCAAAGAAUUUUAGAUAGUGAAAUGUGGAAAGUAGAAGAGAUUGGGCAAGGUCUUUUGGCUCCUUUGUUGUUGAGUUAUAACGAUUUGCCCUCCAAUUCGAUGGUAAAACGGUGUUUCUCAUAUUGUGCUGUCUUUUCAAAAGACUACAGUAUGAACAAAGAAGAAUUGAUUAGUUUGUGGAUGGCUCAAGGUUACUUUAACGUAGAAGAAGACGAAGAAAUGGAGAUGAUUGGAGAAGAGUAUUUCAACAUCUUGGCAACACGCUCUUUCUUUCAAGAGAUUGAAAAAGAUGAGGAUGAUGAUGAUUUUAUGAGCUGUAAGAUGCAUGACAUAGUACAUGAUUUUGCCCAAUUUGUAUGUAGAAAAGAAUGUUUGUGGCUAGAAAUUGAUGGUAACAAAGAAUCAGUCAUAAAUUCUUUUGAUGACAAAGUCCGUCACCUAGGAUUAAAUUUUGAAGGAGGCGCUCCACUUCCUAUGUCCAUUCAUGGACUUAAUAGAUUGCGGACCCUCCUAAUUGAUGAUGGAAGUUUUCUCUAUCCAUCUCUUCAUAGUAGCAUCCUUCCGGGGUUAUUUAGUAAAUUGGCGUGUUUAAGGGCAUUAGUUAUAAGGCAAUCGUCCUCAUUUUCUGAUCCUAGCCCAUAUUUGAUUACAGAAAUUCCAGAAAAUGUUGGAAAAUUGAUACAUUUAAAAUAUCUUAAUUUGUCUAAAUUAUGUAUAGAGAGACUGCCUGAGACUUUGUGUGAAUUAUAUAAUUUACAAAAGCUAGAUAUUAGGGGUUGCGUAUAUCUUAGAGAAUUGCCUGCGGGGAUUGGGAAGUUAAUGAACAUGAGGAGUUUACUGAAUGGUGAAACUGAUUCGUUGAAGUACCUACCAAUAGGGAUUUCUAGAUUGACCAGCCUUCGAACAUUAGAAAAGUUUGUUGUGGGUGGAGGUGUUGAUGGUGGCGGCACGUGUAGGCUUGAAUCUCUGAAAAAUCUUCAACUCCGUGGUAAAUGUUGUAUAGAAGGGCUGAGUAAUGUGUCGCAUGUAGAUGAGGCUGAGAGGUUACAACUUUACAAUAAGAAAAACCUCCUUCGUUUGUAUCUUGAGUUUGGUGGAGCCGUAGAUGGGGAAGGCGAAGCAGGGAGGAGGAAGAACAAUGAGAAAGAUAAACAACUUCUUGAAGCCUUACAACCGCCUUUGAAUGUAGAGGAGUUAAGGAUUAUAUUCUACGGAGGCAACAUUUUUCCCAAAUGGUUGACUUCACUAACCAACCUAAGGGAUUUAAUACUUUUCUUCUGCGUUAACUGUGAGCAUUUGCCUCCUUUAGGAAAAUUGCCUCUGGAAGAACUCGGACUAUUGAACUUGAAAAGUGUAAAAAGAGUGGGAAAUGAGUUUUUGGGAAUAGAAGAAAGCACUGAGGAUGAUCCAUCUUCAUCUUCAUCGUCAUCAUCAGUUAUUGCCUUCCCCAAAUUGAAAUAUCUCGAAAUUUGGGGAAUGGAAGAAUUGGAAAAGUGGAAUUACAGGAUUACAAGAAAGGGAAACAUCUCCAUCAUGCCACGUCUUUCUGCCUUGUCGAUUUGUGAUUGCCCCAAAUUAAAGGUGCUGCCGGAUUACAUUCUUCAAACAACGACACUGCAGGAAUUGAGGAUUGAGGACUGCCCUAUUCUAGAAGAACGUUACAGAGAGGGGAAAGGAGAAGACUGGCAUAAGAUUUCUCACAUUCCCCACAUCAAGUGGUCGCCGUAAGAUAUCACUCGCCGGUAAUUCCUCCUCCUCUGAUUUACUUCGUUAUUGCUUGUAAUGAAAUUAAUGAAAAUAAUUAUAUUUUGAAUUAAAAUUCUAUAUUAUUAUUAUUUCUCUCCUCGAAUGGUUGAAAUUUCACUCGCCCCGUAAAUUCUCGAAUGGUUGCAAUUACUAUCACCCGCCGGUAAUUUCUCUCCUCUGUUUUACUUCAACCAUUAAUUUAAUGGGUCACUCUAUGAUGUUGUUAUAAAAAUUAUAGAAUCAAUCAUGGUAUAAAUAUGUACUGUUAGAUUUAAUCAAUGGUUCAUGAAGUUAAAAGUUAAUUAGGAUAAUAUUUUAAAUUCAAUUAUUUAAAAUUUAAACUUCCUAGUUAUUAAAUCUAUUAAACUUGUUUUAUCAAAGCUAAAUAAUUAAAAAAAAAGUAUAGUCUGUUGAAAUUUCUAUAUUUUCUUUUAAAAAACAUGUAGUCUUUUGUAAAAUUUCAUACAACAUCAUAGAAAACCUAACGUAUUUUAUUUUUUAAUGCACGAAAAUUUGUUAUGUGUAACUUCCUGAGAGACAAAAUCUCUGUGAUGCAUUUGCAGUAAUGUUGAAAACUAAAUUAUCAAUUUUAUCUUGUAUAAUGAUAAUCGUGUUUUUUUAUAUAUAAUUUAUGUGACAUUAAUUCUUUAAAGUAAUUGUGUAAUUGUUUUUAGUAGUACAUUAGCCCACUUUGUUUUAUUUCAUACGAGUUUAAUAAUGUUCGCCAGGGAUUCGAGGAAAUGUCAGAACUACACUAAGAAUUCACAGGUCCAAGCUAAUUUAGUUUUAAUGAUGCAGGUAGGAGAGCAAGACUAAGAAAAUGAAAAGUUUAGCCAAAAGAUUACUAAAAUGUUCUGCUGGUAAUUCACUUGCCUUGUUUAAUAGAAUUUCAUUUCCAUCUUCUUCUAUUGAUAUCUUGUUGUGAAUAAACAAGAACAUAGAAGUAAAUAAUUGAAACGCAGAGAAGUAAAGAUAUAUCAAAAUUCGCUAUUAUGAUGAUGUUAAAGCAAGCUCAAGCAUUGCAUUUUUAUUUUAUUUAAUUUAUAGAAUUUUCAUUUCCACCUGCAUUGCAUUUUUACUUCAUUUUUAGGUUGACGUUGAAGACUCUUAUGGAGAACAUUGGAGUAACCAAGGAUUAUUACUGUGGUUAUUGUGCAACGUUUGGUUGCUGGACUUUGAAGAAGGAAGUGAUGGCCGGGUCUGCUCUGUUUCAAUUGAGGAUGGAUAGCUGCCUGAAAGACAUGAUGAUUAUUAUUGCAUGAUGUUUAGGUGCUAAGAUCAUCAUUUCUAUCUUGCUUCAUUCUUGGAAUCAUUUAUCCUAUAUAAACAUAUUGAAUUGUGCUAAUAUUAUCACUUGUGUCAAUGGAGGCAGGAAUUUGGUGCUGAAACUAUUAUGCAGGUAACCACACUUGAUAAUUUACACAAAUUUGCGUUGUCAGAAUAUCCUUUAAUAUUCAUUGUGUUUCUUUGUGUUAUCAGGUUAUCAUGGUAUAUAGAGUAUCAUUUUCAAGGAUUUGUAAGAGCUUUCGCAGUAAAGUUAGUCAUCACCACCUUGUGCAAUUGCACAUACAUUCAUAGUACUUCAAUAUUAGAUUUUCAAGGUUUGUAUGUUUAGUUGAGAUUAAAAUGUUUAGUCACUCAUUCUUAAUCUUUUCUGAUUUUCAAGUUCUUUAGGGCCAUAAACAGUUUUUCCAACUCAUUCUUAUUUUUUAGGUUGAUUUCGAGUACUCUGUGGAGAACAUUGGUGAGACAAAGGAUUAGACUGGCGAUGGAACUGCUGCCUCUGCUGUUAUUGUGCAAGGUUUGAUCACUGGACCUUGAACAAGAAAGCCUUACACGCAUUCUGUAAUUCAAGCGUUCUCUAAAACGAACGAGCAGUAGAAGGAAUAGUAUGACCGGAUCUGCUCUAUUUUAAUUGAAAAUCUCUGUGAUGUUGACGAGCUUAAAGUAGUUGAUGCUUUUUGAAAAUUGUUAUUACGAAUGAAUUCAUUCCUGAAGACGAGUAGCUAAUGAUUGUUAAGGCUUAUUUUCUUAAAGUUCCUUUCUUAACAAAUGUUUCAAUGCUGGCUGUAGUAACAUUUUCAUAUCUUGCAUCUCUCGGGUGCAUCAUGUUCGCGGGUUUGAAAAAGCAUUUUUGGUAAAGUUUCAAAGGUUGUACAACGGCUGUGAAAAGGCAUAUUCAAUUCGGUACGUUUUGGUGUGGUCUCCUAAUGCUAAUAUCAUAUUUUGUAUAGCAAUUAAAAUUUAGGUAUACAAUCUUAAUAUGCAAUAAAUCAUUGUGUACAAAGUUUUCUAUUAAUUAUAUGGUGACUGAAAUUUUAAUUAUAAUUUUAAUUAUCAUAUCAAUCUUAAAUUUUUUUGUAACUCUUUUUUACUUUGCUUGUACAGAGUACCUGUUUUGGCUGAUAUGUCUAGUUCGUAGAAAUUCAUUUCCACUGGUUUCCAUUUGCUUUAGCACAAACAGAAACAGAGCUCUGGGGAAAAGUUUGACUUCUUGUGGUAUUAUGCCGUUGUUUCUUCAUUCAUCAUAUUAUUCGAAUUCAUGCUCUCAUUCAGAGGGUGAAGCCUUUUCUAGGCUGCUUUGUAGCCAAAUUUUUACGCCAUUGAUGCAUGACUGUCAUUUAGAUUUUCCAAAUAACUGCUAGAUUAGAGAAGAAUAAGAAGAUAUUGUUAAAAGGGUAUUUAAUUAGCGCCCUCUGAAUUUAGUUGCCAAUAAUGCAUUGAAAUAGUCGGGGAAAGUUAUUUUCUUAAUUAAAUUACAGGUGAUAAGAUGCUGCUUCAAUUUUGCAAGCAUCUCGUAUUGCGAAGAUUUUGCCCACAUGAGAUCCCACUAUUCUUGACAUCAGGGUAACGCAGGUCAAAUUUUAGUAUCAAUAUAUAUCUUCUUCUUUACUGUUCUGCCUCUAAAUAUUAAACUUUAGGCAAGUUGUUUUUGUUUGUGUAAGUUAUCAGGUUCAGGAUACUAAGCAGCUUAAUUGUUCGCCACACCUAGUAUGAAUGAUGGCCAGGAACAUUAAUUGUUCACAAGCCAAUUUGAUUAGUGUUAGAUUUUUUGCCUUCCUUCGAAAGAUAUCAUCAUCAAAUUUGAGUUGAGAAUAUUUGAAGAGAAUUUUGUUUUGAGAGUUUCACUGUAGUGAAUUUUGGGUUUGCGUUUGAGCACACACAAAGGAUGCACUAAAUAUAACAAAAGUAUAUUUCUACUUCUUGUGGUUAUUUUAAUUUUGUUUCUCGUGUCAUCAUAUUUGAUUAAUUCGUUCGAAUUCACACUCACACAUUUCCAUGAAUAAUUGUUAGGCUGGUGGAGAUAUUUUUAAAAGGGCAUUAACCUACCUUAUGGAAUUGGAAAGUUAUUAUUUCUUGAAAGCAGGCAGCAUCUUCGUUGCGUAGGCUUUCCCCACUUGAUAAGAUGCUGACAUUGUUACCGGCCCCUUAAUUAUUUAUUAACUCAGGUAUUUAUUAUCAAGUACAUCAUCUUAUUCAACAUUUUGGCUAUAUAUAAAGAUUAUAAUUUCUAACAGUUGUUUCGGAUUCUUGUGUACUCAGGUUAAUAGGGCAAAUGUCAGAAUGAAGACUGUUCAGUUUAACCCGUAUAGCAAGGAUGAUAGCGGUGAGGAAGAUUGUUGGCAAGCCAAAUAGAGCCCUCCAUUUUGAGAAAUAUCAUCCGCAUAUUUGAAUUGUUGAGCAUGUGAAGUGAACCUUCUUAUGGAAAUACCUUCCUGUUUGACUUGCAAAAUACAUUACAAAAGCUCCCAAACAGUAUAUUUGAACAGAGUUACCCAUUUUGAGAAUUUUGACUCCCAAACAAGACUGCAGAGUUGUGUAUGGUGGGAUUAGCUGCAGGAGCAGUGCAAGAUUCUUUGUCAAACUAUCUGGCUGGUAAAAAGACUGUUGCCAAACUUCCUUUUCAUUCCUUUGUUCACUUACUCGUUAUAAAUAAAGUAAAAUUAGAAUAUUGUUCCGUUUACUGUCUAAGCCGGUCUAACAUUUGUUUAAUUUGGGCAAUUUUUAAUGCCUGACAGGUUAUCUGUGACAAACCCAUCUGUGAGUACUAAUGUGCUUGGUUAUGGUGCUUUCAUUGGACUACAUGCAAACAUGAGAUAUCAGCUAUUGUGUGGAUUUGAUAGAGACGUCGCCAACCAUUUUGAAGUUAUUGGAGUAGCAAUGUUGUUAAGCACGGCUUUGAGGUCUCUCCCACCCUCUUUUACGUAUUUGUCAAUGAUCGACAUCUCUAUAUAUACAUUGAUACACCAAAUUACUCUUGUUUUAAUGUUUUGUUUGUUGAACUUUGACUGGGUUAUUUGUUUAUUUGUCUCAUAUGAUGUUAAUGCGGUUCCUAUAAAAGUGGAUAUAGAUCUAUCACCUCAAAGUCUGAUUUCAACUUUCCUUCACUUAAUCAACUAGCAUCCUUUCCAAGUCCAGAUACUUACCAAUAGUGAGACUUUGCUACGGAAGUACAAUUUCUCUUGUUUUACAGUUAAAUAUGUAAGAAUAGUUUCAAAUUUACAGAAUUCUGAUAUAGUUCUCUAAGGAAAUGCAGGUGGUGAAUAUGGUUCCAACUUUUAAUAGGCUUUAAUAGGCCCAUUUGUUCAGCCACAGUGAUUGCGGUCUAAAUUCUUCUUUACUGUCUGUAUGUGUUGGAGUUUGUCUAUUGUCCAACUUCUCCAAUGGAUUCCAUGCAGGGUUUUGGAUGUCUAAUUAGGAGAAAGAUCGACAGAUGACCUUUUGAAGAAGGCUUACACAACAGGCCAUCUCAGGAUGUCAUGGCUCAGCACAAAAGUGCCCAGGUGGUUACUGAGCAAGAUAGAGAGAGAAGUUUUUUCUUCUUCAGGCUACCUUCCGCAGCUGUGGCAUACAUGAACUAAGUAGCUACGCGAUCAACAGAAAGUUAGUGACGUGACUUGGGGAUCGAGGGAUUGAUACCAAAGAAUGCCAUUUUUCUGAGCUUGGGCUCCUUGGCUUCAAACAAAACAGUGUUGACUCUAUUGAAGGGGAAAUAGGGGCAACUAAAGCUCGAAGAAAGAGGAUAGUCCGGAGGAAGGUGACUGCAUAAAUUUCUUGGAGUUAAUGUAGUCAAUUGCCCAAUUUUGCUGCCUGUCGAAGAGACACAGCAUGGAAGUCCUCAUCAAACUCUGAGACACCUAAGAACUAGUAGGAGGUGGUGGUAUUCUCCAUAUUUCCUGACAAGUAUAGUUAAUUUUGUUUUAGCUAUGAAUUGUUUCCUAGAUAAUAAUAAUUGCCUUGUUCCUUUGGAGUCUUAUUUACUCUCCGUAACUCAGUUCAAUUUUGCAAAUUCUAUUUCAGAUUUCUUAUAUAGUGUGUCUUUGUUACUUUUGUGAUGCCUUUUUUAUCGCAAGUUUCCAUUUGAAGUAUCCGAUAUUCUUUACAGACUAAUUAUCUAAUGAUUAUUUUAUACAAAAAAAAUCAUAACUUUAAUCAAUUGAUCAUACUCAACUUAGGUCUUGUUUGAUGUUACUAGCUGUUGUUAAAAUAAAAAAAGCUGAAAUUUGACAAUGUGUAAUAAAUGUAAGACUUUUAAAUAAUAAUUUUUAAUACAAUUAAUAAAGAUAUUAUAAGUUUUUUUAUUAUAAUAAAAUAUGAGAUCAAAUCAAAUUAAUUUUUAAGUUACAAUAGCAAAUAUUUACCAAAACUGUUUAAUUAUGUAGCUUAAAAAGUAUAGUUCUCCAACCUCAACAUUAUAUAGGGAUUUUCCAGACUCUACCAGACUUUAGUUGUACUCACUCGAUCAUGCAAAUCCAUACUCAAUGUGCUUGGCCAUACAAGAUGUUACUCAACUUUAACAAGUCUUACUCAAACUUUGCAUGUUUGGCAUGCCGGAUGGAAUAUGAUAGUAUAUGAUGUGGUAGAAUAUUAUAGGAAUAGUAAUAACAAGAUUACAUGUAGUACUAGGUUACAUUUUACGUGAUGUGGUAUAUGAAUGGAUUAUAUUACAAAUUUUUUUGUUAUAAUAAUUAAAAAUUUGAAUUAUUUUAUUAUUGAAAAAAUGUAAUAUGUUAAAUAACAGUUAUUUUUAUUAAGUAAUUUCUUUGUAAUGAAUUAUACUUUUAAAAUAUAAUCGAAAAUUCUUAUUACUAAACUAAUAAAAAGUUAAUUAUUUGAGUUAUCUCCUAAACUACUUAGCUCACGGGAUAAAUUCACUUAGUUUAGAACGAAACAGUGGAUUUUAGAGCAUCACCAAAAGACUCUUCAAAUAAGAUUUUAUUACUUAUUUGAAGAACCACAUCAACAUUUAAAACUCCAAAAAACACUUCAAUUAAAACUUUUCAAAUAAAAAAUGAUUCUCUUUCUUCAAAUUUGGAGAGUUGCUUUCUCCCUCUUCAAUUUAUAUUUUAUUACUUUUUAUUAGAGAGAGAAAGAGAAGUGCUUUAAUUGCUAUUAACUUUUCCUCUAAAAAAAAUAAUUAUUUGAUUAAAAUAAUAUUAACUUAUUUUUAUUUGAAGAGUUUUUUGGCGAGUAGUAUAUUUUUUACCUUUCUAUUUACCACAUAAGUAAGUAAAUAAAUAGUUGAAAAGUAAAAUGUAUUAAAACUUUGAGUGGGACUACUGGCACCCCUCUAAAUACCUUUUAACACCCCUUUAGUUAUUUUAUAAUUUUAACCUUUAUUAAAAUUACAUAAUAAGACAAUCAUGAAUUUUACAAUUCUAAAUACCUCUUAACACCCCUUUCUUUUGUUUUUAUUUUAUUUUUUUAACAUUUCCGAGUUUACUCCAACUGCAAAUUAAUUUAUGAAUUAUGAUCUACAUACUAUAAAUUUAAGUAAUGCUACAAGCGACUGUAAAUAUUAAAAUAUCAGCAGAAAAAUAAAAAUAUCUUGAUUAAGAGACAAAAUAAAUAGUACCUGAAAUUGAAAUUCAGCAUUUUAAAAAUUAAGAAAGUUACUUUUUCAUCUUAUUUUCUGGUGAGGAAUUAUCGACAUCAGCAACUCAUCAUCAACAAACUUCAGAGAAGAAACUGAGACCUAUGAGGGAAAUUAAGAAAAAAGAAGGUAAUUAUGAAGCAAAGGACGAGCUUAACAAUCAUCAGAAUUAUUUUCCCACCGACAUGUUUUCCAGUGCCCCAGUUGUCUUUCUCCACAAAGGCACGCAGUCUUUCGAAGAAUUCGUGAUUCUGCAUUUUCAGAAGCUUGUGCUCAACAUCUUCAUCAGUAAACCAAAUUAGCACUUGGCCUUAUAAUUACACGCAUGGUAGCCAAGUGUUUGCAAGGUGUCAUUAUCAAUUACAAUGAGUUUAAAGUGCUGGCCAUGUGGUGUUUCAAUGAUUUGCCACAUUGAAGUCGAAGUUUCGUGGAGCAAGUUCCCUUUUCCUUUUUUUUUUUCCUUCUCUCUCUCUUUUUUUUCAAUAGAUGAUUAAUUGUCUCAAAAUCAGUCAAAAAUUAAAUGGGGUUUAUAUUAAUAAAUUUGAAUUAAGGAUAUUUUUAUCAUUAAAAGGGUGUUAAAAGAAUUUUAUAAUAUUUUUAAAUAUUUUAAUAGGGUUAAUAAAAAAAAGAGGUGUUGAGAGAUAUUUAGAGGGGUGCCAAUAGUCUCACUCAAAAACUUUUGAAGAUGCUCUUACUAACAUAAUUUUCUCCCAUUUCCAUAAUGUCCGCGUUGAGUGCAUGUAAUCCACGAGUUUGAUUGAGCAGAAUAGCCGAAAGUCUAAUGAUACCCACAUCCAACUUUGUCACAAAGGCCUGGACGCCAUUCCUUAAGCCCAUGUUGUUUCGGUUUUGAUGUUGUAUUAUCAUUUCACGGGUUUUGGUGCUCUAGGAUUUGGGGAUGGUGCUUCAACGCUGUGUUUAAUGCGUCCCUUUUGGCACUUUUUGUUAAUUUUUAUUCCAAGAGCUAUGCUAAGAAAAAGAAGCAGGGAUGAUCAAAGUGUUGUGAUUGUUUUGUGUUUUCUUUUUUAAUUUAUUUGAUUUUGGUUAAUUAUGAAUGGUGGUAAUUGGUUGAAUGCAAUUGAAGAGAUGCUUUCAAUUGCCUAAACUUUGUUUUUUCAAUUUUUGUAAUAAAUGUCAUUUGUCACCACAUUUUUUUAGUCUCUCCCUUUUAAAUUCCCUCACACAAACUUCGGAUUUGUAUUUUGUAAACUAGUACUUUUCAUUUUCGUUAAUGUGUUAGCUAUUAUUAUCUACAGUUAUGUCAUACGACACACAUGUCACAUUAGCUAAAAUUAGAUUAUGAAUUUUGGGCACAGGACCAAGUCCCACCGUUUGGUAGGAAAUAAGUGUUGGAUCAUAAACUUGAUCCAAAAUAAAUAAAUUCAAGUCCAACUCAUGGAAGAUUCCAUGAGUAGGUAUACUUGGUGAGGUUUGAAUUAUUUGUGUUAGGUGUGGUAGGUUUUAAUGGAUGGUGAGAAUUUGUGUAUUAGUUGAAUAAAUAGAUUGUUGUGAUUAGUUUGUUUCAUGUUUAAAUACCCCCCUCCCCUUUGGUUUAAAUAUAAAGUGAAGUAACAAAAUCUCUAAGGUGUAGAGAGUGAAAAAUAAGAGUUGUAAUUAGUGAGGAGUGUUAUUGAAGAAAUAAAAUAGUGUGUUUUAUUUGUUAAUUCUCCAAAAAAUGGUAUCAGAGCUAGUGUUUGAUGCUAUAUAUAGUAAUAUAGCAUAUCAAAUCGAAGAUCUCGACGAGAGGAACGUGACGCCGCAAAAAUCAUCCCGAUCCGAGACUGGACGCGCCCACACAUGCCGCCGGAAGCUUUAUGUCCUGAAGCUAAGUCGACUCACCGAGUUGAACCAAGCUGAGCCGAACCGAACCAAGCCGAGUCGAGCUGAACCGAAUCAAGUCGAACCAAGCCAACUGGAGCUGAAUCAAUCCGGACCGAACCAAGACUAUUAAGCCAACGCUGACCGUUGACCGUUGAUUGAAAGUUGACUCGAGUCCUUCCCAAGGUUUUUUGAUGUGCCAGAUCCAUCUGUGCUUUUAGAAUCUCCAAAUUCUCACUCAAUUUAUGAGUUAUGGAAAAUGGUGGUAUGAUGUCAUUUCAAGUUCUACAAUUAAAGGGAAGUAAGUUUGACCAUUGGAGUAUUAAAAUGAAGACUCUAUUGGGUGCACAGACGUAUGGGAUGUCAUGGAAAAAGGAUUUAUUGUGCUAGAAAAUGAAGCUACUUUAACUGUGGCGCAGAAGGAGAAUUUAAAAGACUUGAAGAAGAAAGAGAAUAAAGCAAAGUAUCUCAUCUUUCAAUCAUUAGAAGAAGAUGCUUUUGAAAAGAUUGCUGGUACAACCUCCUCAAAAGAAGCAUGGGAGAAACUAGAGAUCUCUUACAAAGGAGCGGAGCAAGUUAAGAAGGUUCGUCUCCAAACAUUAUGAGGAGAAUUUAAGUCCUUACACAUGAAGGCGUCGGAGUCAAUUUCUGACUACUUUACUCGGGUUGUGACCGUUUCUAAUGAAUUAAAUAGAAAUGGCGAGGAGUUAAAAGAGGUAAGGAUCAUUGAAAAGAUACUUCGAUCAGUAGACUUGAAGUUUGACCAUAUUGUUGUGACAAUUGAGGAAACAAGAGAUCUAGAGGAUAUGACGAUCGAGCAACUUCAAGAAAGGCUGCAAGCCUAUGAAGAAAAACAAAAAAAGAAGCAAGGAAUCAAAGAACAACUUCUCAAGAUGGAGGUCAAUCCAAAGAAAAGAGAAGAAAGCUCCGACAACGGAAGAAGACAUAUUUAUCUCCCAUGAAAGCUAUACAAAGGAGAUUCUAAAAAGGUUCAAGAUGAAUGAUUGCAAGCCUAUAAGCACGACAAUGGAAUGCAGAGUCAAGUUAUCCAAACAUGAUGAAGGGGAAGAUAUAGAUCCAACAUUCUUUAAAAGUUUGGUCGGAAGCCUAUGUUAUUUGACAUGCACGAGACUAGAUAUCUUUUAUGUUGUUGGACUUGUGAGCCGAUACAUGAAGAAUCCAAAGACCACCCAUUUUAAAGUUGCAAAAAGAAUCCUUUGCUACAUCAAAGCUACAACUAAUUUCGACUUGUUAUACUCAUUUUCUAAUGACUACAAGCUUGUUGGAUAUAAUGAUAGUGAUUGGGGUGGAGAUGUAGAUGAUUGAAAGAGCACAACAUGAUUUGUGUUCUUCAUGGGAGAUACUGCUUUCACAUGGAUGUCAAAGCAGCAACCAAUUGUCACGCUAUCCACUUGUGAAGCUGAAUAUGUAGCUGCCACAUCAAGUGCUUGUCAUGCAAUUUGGCUUAGAAAUUUGUUGAAGGAGUUGGGUUUGCCACAAGAAGAGCCAACCAAAAUUUAUGUUGAUAACAAAUCAGUAAUUGCCCUCUCCAAGAAUCCAGUCUUUCAUGAUCGAAGCAAACACAUAGGCACUCGCUAUCAUUUCAUAAGAGAGUGUAUUGAAGAAAAGAAGUGCAAGUCAAGUAUGUAAAAUAACAAGAUCAAGCAGUUGAUAUCUUCACUAAGCCACUCAAGCAAGAAGACUUCGUAAAAUUCAGAAGUUUGCUUGGUGUCACAAGAUCAAGUUUAAGGGGGGGUGUUGGAUCAUAAACUUGAUCCAAGAUGAAUAAAUUCAAGCUCAACUCAUGGAAGGUUCUAUGAGUAGGUAUGGUUAGUGAGGUUUGAAUUAUUUGUGUUAGGUGUGGUAGGUGUGGUUGGUGAAGUAGGUGAGUGGUAGGUUUUAAUGGAUGGUGAGGAUUUGUGUAUUAGUUGAAUAAAUGAAUGGUUGUGAUUAUUUUUGUUUCAUGUAUAAAUACCCCCUCUCCCCUUUGGUUUAAAUAUCAAGUGAAGUAACAAAAUCUCUAAGGUGUAGAGAGUGAAAAACAAGAGUUGUAAUUAGUGAGGAGUGUGGUUGAUAGAAUAGAAUAGUGUGUUUUUUUGUGUGUUUUGUUUGUUAAUUCUCCAACAAUAAGGAGCAUUAAUGAAAUAUGUUUAAUUAAGUAAUAAUUUGUUAUUUUAGAGUGAAAAAUAAGGGUAAAUUGUAUUCUACCCCAUAUUAGAUUGACAAACUUCAAUUUACCCCCUAAAAGUACAAAAACUUCAACUUAUCUCCAAAUACCAUUUUCUUCCCGUUAAAUUCAACUAUCGAAAGCAUAAAAUUAUAGUCUUACAUUCUCUUAACAGUCAACUAACGGAUAAGGUAAUUUCCAUAAAACCCAAAUGUAGGGGCGGGCAACGGUUUGGUUUAGAAGUUAGGAACCGAAUGGUUUGAAAACAAACGAACCGAUUGGUUUAUAUUUGGUUUAGUUUGAACUGACAAACCGAUUGGUUCGCUUCAACUUAAUUAAAAAUACAUUUAUUUUAAAAUAUAAAUGCUUAAAAUAUUUUUUUUUUCAUUUUUCAGUUUCCUAAUCUAAAAAUGUUUCAUAACCCUAAAUCAACAGCCAUCUCUCUCAAGUUCGGCGGAGGCACAACAAGCUCUCUCGGUCUCUCCCUCGCAAUCUCAUGGUGAUUGAAUUCUUGUGAUGUCUCCACUUUUGUUUCUUGUUCUUGUGUGAUCGAAUUCUCUCUAUACACACAUACCCCAGCCUCUUGUUCUUUGGCUUAAUGGAGUUUCGUUUCUUUUCUCUCAGUUUCUUUCCUGUUGAAUUCUCGUGAUGUUUCUAUUUUUUUCUUGUUUUUUAGACGUGUUUUCGAAAUUGGCAUAAUGCGAACCAAACCCGAACUGAAUUUCAAAAUCGAAUCAAAUUGAACCAAACUGAAAUUUUUAUGUUCGGUUUGGUUCAAUUAAAAAAUUUGGUAUGCAUUCGGUUCUCUUUCUUAAGAACCAUUUGGUUUUAGUUCAGUUCGGUUUUGGUCUAGAAAAGAACCGAACCGAACCAAAACAAACCAUAUACUGGCCACCUUGCUCAAAUGUUUCAACAAAUUUCAAUGCACACUUAAACAUGUCAAUAAAAUUCGCUUUGUACCCAAAUUGAUAAUUUUUAUUUUUUAAUUAGUUAAUUUUUAACUGCAGAAGCAUAAAAAAUUAUUUCUUUUUAAAAUAAGAAAAAUAAUUUUUUUUCUAACUUUUUUCCUUUUUUUAUUUUCUAGUUAAUUUCUUUAUCUGGUUCGGUUCAUUUUUCCCUUUUUUAUUUCUUACUGUUUUCUGCAUGUUCUCCACGCUUCAACUUCGCCAAGCAUCAUAAGGCCACAAUAGCCAUGCCAGCAAUGGUGCAGCAACGUUAACGCCACUGUUCCAAGUCUUGGCCCAUCAUCUGCUUUUCAACAAACCUUAGCUUCUUCCCAAAUUCAUCAAUGAACCCCAGAACCAGACUAAUCAUUAAAAUUAUUAACAACCAUUUGCUUGGAUCAAUGUAUGCUUGGCAUGUCUAUGGGCUUACUUGUUAUGGUCGCUGAUGGCCUUGGGCUUGCCUGGAAUGGUCGCAACGCGCAGCCAUGGGCUUGCUUGGAAUGCCCGAACCCAGCUGCCAAGGUUUUGCUAGCGUAUCCAUGGAUUUUGCUGGACAUGGCAGUGCGAGGCCAUGGGUGUUGCCGGGCAAUGGACAUGGGUUUUGCUGGGCUGAUUUGGAAUUAACAGUGGCUAUGGAGUUGUUAAGUGUGUGAAAGAUAAAAAAAAAACGAACCAAGAAGAAGAUGAACAGGGAAUAGAACGAAGAAGAUGAAGAAAGUAGAAGAGAGGGAAAAAAUAUUUUGCUUUUUUAUAAAUUUUCGGAUUUUUAUUUCAAAAUUUAUAAUUUUUGUUUAAAUUUGAGAAUCUUAAGGGUAAAAUUUUCUUUGUAACUAUGUAGAAGGAGGUUUUCAGAUGGUUUUUGGUUGGGUUAACAUGAAAUAUGCUUGUUUUAUGAAAUAUUAUUAUUGAGGUUUUGUUUUAUUUUCUAAAAGUUAGAUUAGAGGAUGAUUUUCAUUAAUGACAUCCAUAAAGUUUGAAUUAGUUAUAUUAUAGAAAAAUAGGGAUUUAAAUGAUAUAUCUUUCCAACAUAAAUAUAUCAGUAACAUAAGUUAUUCUAUAAUUAACAGGGGUAUUAUCGUAUUUUAGUGAGUCAAUAUUGGUUGAUAGUUAAAUUUAACAGAUUUUAGAGAGUAAAUUGAAGUUUUUAUUUUUAUUUUUGAGUAAAUUAAAGUAUGUCAAUCUCAUAAGGGGUUAAAAUAUAAUUUACCCAAAAAUUAGUGUUAAAAUUUUAUAGAUGAGUGUAUAUUAAGAUGUUCAAAGUAUUAGGACAUAAUGAAUAUUAUCCUCAACCUCAAGAGAAACAUAUCAAUAAAAUAUACAAAAAUAGAAUGCAUUAGUACAUGUCAAUAAGAAGACCAAUUAGAUCAUGUCAUAUUUGUUAUGUGGUUAUUUUUAAAUUAAGAAAAGGAACAAUGAUGGUUUUACAAAGUUUGAAUAUAAAAUUUAUAAUCUAAAAUUAAUGAUAACGUGUUAUUAAGCUAAUAGAGUAAGAAGUCCCNNNNNNNNNNNNNNNNNNNNNNNNNNNNNNNNNNNNNNNNNNNNNNNNNNNNNNNNNNNNNNNNNNNNNNNNNNNNNNNNNNNNNNNNNNNNNNNNNNNNUUAGCUAUAGAGUAGAGUCCCAAAUGCAUGUACAUCAUAUCUUGGUAAGAAAUUGGUUCUACCCAAAAUACUUCUUUGUAUUGAAAUCAAUGAUGAUUGCUUGUUUAAAUCAUGAAAGUUAAAAUAAUUUUGUAAAUCAUUUCAUUCUUUAAUUUACGGUAUAAAAAUAAAUUAAAAAAAUGUUAAUUUCUCCCAUACUUUUAGGACUCAAAAAAUAACAAAAAGUCUUAACAUAUUUAAUGGUUAUAUAUAAAUCAUCCGUAUGUAUUUUUCUUGAGAGAAGCUCAAUUCGAUAGGCAAUGCUCCCCAUAGUUUUCUUUUCUAAUUAGAUAAAAGAACAAAAGAAAUUGAUUACAAUAAUUCACGGCGAAGUCACCUUGGUCUACCUGAUAUAUAUUACAGAGGUAAGCUUCUUUUUAAUGCCAAACUAGAAUAACAAACUUUAAUUUACUUCUUAAAGGGUAAAAACCUCAAUUUGUCCUUAUAUUUGUUCAAAAGAUACAUUUUGUCUUCUUAAUAUAAACAAGUUAAAUUGAUGUUUCACAUCUUUUAGAAAUAAAUUAAAAAUUGUUAUUCUAAGUAGGAGGUAAAUUUCAAAUAAAACAUGUGUUCAUAUGAUAGAUGUGCAUUUUACAAUAAUUAAUAAACAAAAAGGGUAGUGAUAUUUUCACCCUGCAAUUUUUGUAAAUCCACCCCCACUCCCAAGAAAUAAUUACAAUAAAUUCACAUAAUUUUUUAAAAACUCAAUAAAGAAAAUUUUUGGAGAUUUAAACUAUUAUAUACAAGAGGAUAGGAGUAAACAUUUUUCAUGCAGUAUAAAAAGAAUGGUGACACUCCUUUUCUUUCGGUAUUUUCGCACAAAAGCACGCUUAAUAACUGAUCAAAAUUAUUUCUCCUUUUCUUUGAUCGCUGAUUCGCUUCCCCUCUCCUGGAGCUGCUGAACUCCUUUGUUGCUGAUGAAGUGAACAGGUGAGGCUUUUCAAAUGACCACAAUAUGUAUAAAGACGAACUAAUUACACUAUCAGUGGCUCAAGGUUACCUUAAUGCAGAAGAGGGCAAAGAGAUGGAGAUUCGAUUCGAUUCGAUAAUAGUAGUUUAUUUUAAUUUUUAUUCAUUUAAUUUCAUAGCAGAAAUUUUUAUUUUCAUUUUUUUGUUGAAAAUUGGUAAAAACGAACUAAAAUGAGAUAAUUACAUUAAAACAAUCUUCAAUGACUAAAGUAAUUUGAAAAAAUAAAAAUAAAAAUAAACAAGCUCAAAAUUUACCCCUAAUCCGAACAUUAUCCGAAUUCAGCCUAAUUGACCCAAAUCUAAUUGUAAUCCAAACUUGACAUGACCCGCAAAUAAUUAUAACUCGAUCAGAUCCAAACUCAACCUGAAUUUUUAAUUCAAUACGAUCCAAUCCAAAUAUUCCAACCCCAUCAAAUUGAAACUUGAUCGGGUUGAUCCGAACCCGAAUUUGCCACUUCCGGAGGAGACCAUGACCCUAAAAGCUUUGAAAUAAUCUUUGCGGUUUCUUAAUGAAAUAUUAAAAGUUAUGUGCAAAAAGACUGAUUUGACCCUAGAAUACAUGAUAUAUAAAUUUCAGACAUUAUAUUCUGUGAAAUAAAGUCAAAGUAAACUGGUCGUUUGAUUUUUUAUUAAUUAUUUUCCAUUAAGACAAAAUGACAAAUAGACUUUUUUAAAAGUUUAAUAAAGUUUGGGCCUAACUCCUUGAUUUUUAUUUUUUAAUUAUUUUUCAUUUUGUUUUUUACUUGCAACAUUAGCUUUAAUUAUCAAUCAGUCUCCAAAUCAAAAUGACUGAAACCUGUAGCUACAAGCAAAAUUCUCAAAUUUUGAAAUUUCUAACGACUACUUAAUAGCUAUAAAUAGAAAAAUCAUCUAAAAUUAAUCCUCCUUCAGAGGCAGAUUAAAUUCUUAGUAAUUUCAUAUAAUUUCAUUUCAUCAGAACAAUUUUUCAAAAGCAAUUUUAUAAAUGGUUGUCGAAAGCUUUAUCCCUUAAUCAUAUUUCACGUAUUUUCUUUGUAAUAUGAGGCGCGUCCAUAGACCAUAGUAUGAUAUUUAUUGUAAUUAAAAUCAUUAUGGAACUGAUUUUAUUCUUGUUUCUCAAACAAAGUAUCUAACUGCAGAUGUAAUAAAUUACUAAUUGCCAUUAUUUGAGUCGCGCUCUUUGAAUUCGAUCUUGGAGUUUCAAAUGACCAAAUGAAUUAGUAAGAUAAUGGCUUUUCGUUCCGAGAGCUAUGCUAAGAAAAAGCAGGGAUGAUCAGAACAAAUAGUGUGUUGUGAUUGUUUUGUGUGUGUGUGUGUGUGUUUUUUUUUUAAGUUUUAUUUUGUUUAAUUAAGAAGGGUUAUGAUCUGUUCAUUGCAAUUGACAGAGAUGUUUUCAGUUGCCUAGACUUCGUAUUUUCAGUUUUAGUAAUACAUGUCGUUUUUCACCACAUUUGUUUAGUCUCUCCCUUUUAAAUCCCCUCACACACAAAAAAUUAGGAUUUGUAUUUUGUAAACUAAUAUUUUUCAUUUUGUUAAUGUAUUAAUUAUUAUUAUCUACAUUUAUGUGAUAGGGCACAUGCCACAUAAACUAAAAUUAAGUUAUAAAAUUUUGCAGCCCCUGAGCACUCAAUGUUUGUAGGCACAAGUUCAAGUCCCACCAUUUGUUAGGAUUUAAAUAAAGAACAUUAUAACCAUGCGUCCAAGAACUUAAAGUUAGCUUAAGUGCAUGGAUUCGAGUCCUAGUUAUUGUUGAAAUUCGAUUUCCUUUCUAAUUAAAUUAAGUAAGGGUAAAAUUAUCUCUCAAUUAAUAAAGACAGAGUAGAUAUCUCUCUUGAUUUUCCUCCCAAUUAAAUUAGUUAGAAGUAAAAUUAUCUCUCGAUUAGUAAGAGUAGAAUAAAUAUCUCUUUAGUAUUAUGCAAGGGUAGAAUUUUGGGUUGUACCAUGUUAGAAUUAUCAAGGAUAGUUUUGAUAGAAUUCUAAUUGUAAUAUAUAAGUGUAUAAAAAAAAUGAACAUUAAUGAAAGAUGUUUAGGUAAGGACUAUCUUGGAAUAGAAUUUUGAUUGUAAUAUAUCAAUAUAUAAAAAGAAAUUUAUGAAAAAUGUUUAACAAGGACUGUUUUGAUAUUUUAAUGAGUAGUAAAAAUUAAUGUUAAAAUUUGAUAGAACUUAUAUAAAUAAUCCUAGCUCUAAUAAAAUUUUGCUACAUAAUUAGUUUAUCCCUUAAAGAAACAUAUCAAAAAAAUAUACAAAAACACAAUGCAUGAGUACAUGUCAAUCACAAAUGAAAGCAAUUAAGAUAAAGAAUAUGAUUUAUUUUAUUUUAUUUUAGUUAUUUUUUUGUUUCUUUUGAAACAAGACCAAUUAGAUCAUGCAAGAAGUAAUUUUUUUUAAAAAAAUAAAAAAAGGACAAAUGAUGAAACCCACGUCUAAAGAUGCCGUUGUCGCGGAGGCCUAGAUCUCACUACACCCCAUCCCCUUCUACCAUAUUUUAUAAUUGAAGAGGUCAUUAUUGAAUUGAAAAAUUAUGAUUCAAAAAUCCAAAAGUAGAAAAAGAAAAGCAAUUGUUGGAAACACACUCGGAGUUUUAAAUUGACAUGAGAAAAGAAUAUAUUCAUCAACCUCAUACGUUAAAGAUGCGACGAGUUUAAGAAUAUAUUCCUAACGUGUGGGAAUUUAAAGAUGUUACUACAAAACAUGUGUUCGUCGGUGGAGUAGAAUCAGGGAAAUUAAAGAUGCUACUACAACCACUAACGUGUGGGUGGAGAUAAGCAUAACUUUUUUCAUCAAAUGCCAAAUCCCCCCAGGUGGAGAGUGGGGACUCCUUCGCAUAAAUGUUGAUAAAAUUUUGACUAUGAUGUUAUUAGAAAUUAGGGAAAACUUAUGGUGCAACUGUGAUAUCGUGUCAUAGUUGUAUCCAGCCGUUGGAUGUCAAUGGACUCUACCCAUACAAGUGUAUCCAACGGCUGGAUGUAAUUAUGGCACGGUACCACAGUUGCAUCGUAGCCGGACCCUAAAAAUUAAGAUAUUCUCUCUCUACGUAUGUCUGCACGAAAUAAUAUGCAAAUAUAGUAUUUUAGUUUAUUAUUAAUAGUUUUACAAUAAUAAAAAUCAUUUUGAUAGACAGGAAAAUGUCAUAUUCGCAUUUUAUUUUGUACGGACGUCUGCGAGAAAGAACAUAUAUAUAUAUAUAUAGAGGAACGUGUAUUUAAGAUUUAGCUAGUGUGAAGUUGGGAAAUUUUUUUUUUUGAACCCAAGCUAAAAUUAUUUCAAUAAAUUUUGAUCAUGGAGACUAACAAGAUUUUUUUAGUUAUAUUUAUUAAUUUUUUAGGGACUAAUAAAUUUUGAUCAUGGAGACUAAUAAGAUUUUUUAGUUAUAUUUAUUAAUUUUUUAGGGACUAACAUGAAUAUUAAUAAUUUUAUUGAGAUUAUUAAAAAAACAAUGUGCUAUUUUACAUCUAUGACUUUUCCAAUCUUUUUUUCUUUCGUUAUUUAUUCCUUUGUGAAUUUUAGUUAAUGCUUGAUAUUAUUUUUUUGCUCAUUUUUUAAAGUAGUAAUUAAAUCUGAACCCUUACAGUAGAAGAUUAUGAAAAAGUAAAGACACAAAAAUCAUAAAAAUCAUUAGUAGGUCCAAAUUUGUGCUAUUUUCAUACAUAACUUGAGAAUAUUUAUAAUUACGCAUCAGAACUAGUGGAGUAGAAUCAGGGAAAUUAAACAUUCUACAAUCAUUGACGUGUGGGGUGGGGAUAAGCAUAAACAUUUUCUAUGCAGUAUAAAAGAAUGCAAUAACUCCUUUCUUUCAUAUCUUCGCAACAAAAGCACAUCUAAUAACUCUUCAGAAUUCUCGUCUUCUUUGUCAGAAUGGUUGAUGCGAUCGUUUCCUCUCUCCUGGAGCAGCUGAUCUCUGUUGCGGCUGAUGAAGUGAAACAACAGGUGAGGCUUGUGACUGGUGUCCGAGAAGAAGUGAAAAAGCUUACCAGCAAUCUUCAAGCCAUUCAACUUGUGCUGGAAGAUGCAGAGAAAAGGCAAAUGCAGGACGACAAAGCUGUUACUUUUUGGCUGGAUCAGCUCAAAGGCGCAUCUUACGACAUGGAAGAUGUGUUGGAGGAGUGGACCACUGCAAGGCUCAAAUUGCAGAUUGAGGGCCUUGACGAUGACAAUACUCUUGCUCUUCCUGCUCAUAAGAAGAAGGUAUGUUCCUUCUUUCCUUCUGCCUCAAACUGCUUCGGUAGUUUCAAAAAACUCAGUCUUCGUCAUGACAUUGCAGUCAAGAUUAGAGAGAUCAAUAAAACGCUGGAUGAUAUUACCUCUCAAAAAGAUAGGUUUAAAUUUGCUGAGAAUGUGAGUAACAAUGUCAAGAAGCCAGAGCGAGUGGGAACCACCUCCUUGGUUGAUGAGGGAGAGGUUUGCGGUAGAGUUGAUGAGAAAAAUGAGCUCUGCAAGUUGUUGUGCGAAAGUAGUGAACAACAACAAGGCUUUCAUGUCAUUUCACUAGUUGNNNNNNNNNNNNNNNNNNNNNNNNNNNNNNNNNNNNNNNNNNNNNNNNNNNNNNNNNNNNNNNNNNNNNNNNNNNNNNNNNNNNNNNNNNNNNNNNNNNNNNNNNNNNNNNNNNNNNNNNNNNNNNNNNNNNNNNNNNNNNNNNNNNNNNNNNNNNNNNNNNNNNNNNNNNNNNNNNNNNNNNNNNNNNNNNNNNNNNNNNNNNNNNNNNNNNNNNNNNNNNNNNNNNNNNNNNNNNNNNNNNNNNNNNNNNNNNNNNNNNNNNNNNNNNNNNNNNNNNNNNNNNNNNNNNNNNNNNNNNNNNNNNNNNNNNNNNNNNNNNNNNNNNNNNNNNNNNNNNNNNNNNNNNNNNNNNNNNNNNNNNNNNNNNNNNNNNNNNNNNNNNNNNNNNNNNNNNNNNNNNNNNNNNNNNNNNNNNNNNNNNNNNNNNNNNNNNNNNNNNNNNNNNNNNNNNNNNNNNNNNNNNNNNNNNNNNNNNNNNNNNNNNNNNNNNNNNNNNNNNNNNNNNNNNNNNNNNNNNNNNNNNNNNNNNNNNNNNNNNNNNNNNNNNNNNNNNNNNNNNNNNNNNNNNNNNNNNNNNNNNNNNNNNNNNNNNNNNNNNNNNNNNNNNNNNNNNNNNNNNNNNNNNNNNNNNNNNNNNNNNNNNNNNNNNNNNNNNNNNNNNNNNNNNNNNNNNNNNNNNNNNNNNNNNNNNNNNNNNNNNNNNNNNNNNNNNNNNNNNNNNNNNNNNNNNNNNNNNNNNNNNNNNNNNNNNNNNNNNNNNNNNNNNNNNNNNNNNNNNNNNNNNNNNNNNNNNNNNNNNNNNNNNNNNNNNNNNNNNNNNNNNNNNNNNNNNNNNNNNNNNNNNNNNNNNNNNNNNNNNNNNNNNNNNNNNNNNNNNNNNNNNNNNNNNNNNNNNNNNNNNNNNNNNNNNNNNNNNNNNNUAGAAAAGAAUGUUUGUGGGUAGAAAUUAAUGGUACCAAAGAAUCAGUCAUAAACUCUUUUGGUGACAAAGUCCAUCACUUAGGGUUAAAGUUUGAAGAAGGCGCUUCAUUUCCUAUGUCCAUUCAUGGACUUAAUAGAUUGCGUACCCUCUUAAUUUAUGACCAAAGUCCUUACAAUCCGUCUCUUAGUAGUAGCAUCCUUCCGGAGUUAUUUAAUAAAUUGGCGUGUUUAAGGGCAUUAGUUAUAAGGCAAUCGUACUUAUUAUUUUUGUAUCCUGAGGCAAAUAGGAUUAGAGAAAUUCCAGAAAAUGUCAGAAAAUUGAUACAUUUAAAAUAUCUUAAUUUGUCUGAAUUACACAUAGAGAGACUGCCUGAGACUUUGUGUGAAUUAUAUAAUUUACAAAAGCUAGAUAUUAGGCGGUGCCCAAAUCUUAGGGAAUUACCUGCGGGGAUUGGGAAGUUAAUGAACAUGAGGAGUUUACUGAAUGCUGAAACUCGUUCGUUGAAGUACAUGCCAAUAGGGAUUUCCAAAUUAACCAGUCUUCGAACAUUAGAAAAGUUUGUUGUGGGUGGAGGUGUUGAUGGUGGCAGCACGUGUAGGCUUGAAUCUCUGAAAAAUCUUCAACUCCUUCGUGAAUGUAGAGUAAAAGGGCUGAGUAAUGUAUCGCAUGUAGAUGAGGCUGAGAGGUUACAACUUUACAAUAAGAAAAACCUCCUUCGUUUGGGUCUUCAGUUUGGUAGAGUCGUAGAUGGGGAAGGCGAAGAAGGGAGGAGGAAGAAUGAGAAAGAUGAACAACUUCUUGAAGCCUUACAACCGCCUUUGAAUGUAGAGGAAUUAGAGAUUGAAUCCUACCGAGGCAACAUUUUUCCCAAAUGGUUGAAUUCACUAACCAAUCUAAGGAAUUUAUAUCUUUCCUCGUGUUUUAACUGUGAGCAUUUGCCUCCUUUGGGAAAAUUACCUCUGGAAAAACUCGAAAUCAUCCACUUGAAAAGUGUAAAAAGAGUGGGUAAUGAGUUUUUGGGAAUAAAAGAAAGCAGUGAGGAUGAGCCGUCUUCAUCUUCAUCAUCAUCAUCAGUUACUGCCUUCACCAAAUUGAAAUCUCUCAAUAUUUGGGACAUGGAAGAAUUGGAAGAGUGGAAUUACAGGAUUACGAGGAAGGAAAACAUCUCCAUCAUGCCCCGUCUUUCUUCCUUAACAGUUGGUUCUUGCAACAAAUUAAAGGCGCUGCCGGAUUACCUUCUUCAAACGACGGCACUACAGAAACUGAAUAUUAAUUGUUGUGAAAAUUUGGAAGAACUGCCCAUUCUAGAAGAUCACAGGACAACAAGUGUAGUCUGUUCCUUGAUGAUUUUGGAUUGCCCCAAAAUAAAGGUGCUGCCGGAUUACCUCCUUCGAACGACGACACUGCAGGAAUUGACAAUUGUGGGAUGUCCUCUUCUACAAGAACAUUAUAGAGAAGACUGGCAUAAGAUAUCUCACAUUCCCCACAUCAUGGUGCCGGUAAUUUCUCCUCCUCCGAUUUACUUCGUUGUUGCUUGCAAUAAAAUGAAUAAAAAUAAUUAUAUCUUUAAUUCUAUAUAGAAUCAAUCAUGGUAUAAAUAUGUAAAACUUCCUAGUUAUCAAAUCUGUUAAACUUGUUUCCUAAAGAUUAAAUAAAAAAAAAAACAAGUGUAGUCUGUUUAAAUUCGAUAAUUACUUUUAAAAAAAUAUGUGCUCUUUUGUAAAAUUUCAUGCAAUCUCAUAGAAAAUCCCAAUGCAAUUUAGUUUUUAAUGUACAAAAAUUUGUUAUGUGUAACUUCCUGAGAAACAAAAUCUCUGUGAUACAUUUGCAGUAAUGUUGAAAACUAAAUUAUCAAUUUUGCCUUGCAUACUGAUAAUCGUAUUUUUUUAUAUAUAAUUUAUGUGACAAUAAUUCGUUAAAGUAAUUGUGUAAUUGUUUUUAGUAGUACAUUAGCCCACUUUGUUUUAUUUCAUACGAGUUUAAUUAUGUUCAUCAGGGACUCGAGGAAAUGUCAGAACUACACUAGCAAUUCACAUCGUCAUCAUCGUCAUCAUCGGUUACUGCCUUCCCCAAGUUGAAAGCACUCAAAAUUAAUUAUUUGGAUGAACUGGAAGAGUGGAAUUACAGGAUUAGGAGGAAGGAAAACAUCUCCAUCAUGCCACGUCUUUCUUCCUUGUGGAUUCGGUAUUGCCCCAAACUAAAGGUGCUGCCGGAUUACCUUCUUCAAUUGACGACACUGCAGAAAUUAAGGAUUGAGCUAUGUCCUCUUCUGGAAAACCGUUAUAGGGAGGCGAAAGGAGAAGAUUGGCAUAAGAUAUCUCACAUUCCCCACAUCGAGAUAUCACCCGACGGUAAUUUCUUCUCCUCCUCUGAUUUACUCUGUUGUUGCUUGCAAUGAAAUUAAUAAAAAUAAUUAUAUUAUGAAUUAAAAUUCUGUAUAUUGCCAAUGUGUGACAGGAAUAUAUUAUAUAUUUCUAAUAUUUUGAUUUGCAUAUUGAAUUUAACUAUUUACUUCAGCCAUUAAUUUGCCAAUAAUUUAAUGGGUCACUCUAUGAUGCUGUUAUAAAAAUUAUAAAACCAAUCAUGGUAUAAAUAUGUACGGUUUGAUUUAAUCAAUAGUUCAUAAAUUUAAAAGUUAGUUAGGAUAAUAUUUUAAUUUUAUUUAUUUAAAAUUUAAACUUCUUAGUUAUCAAAUCUGUUAAACUAAUUUUCUAAAGAUUAAAUUAUUAAAAAAACUGUAAUCUGUUGAAAUUCCUAUAUUUUCUUUUAAAAAAUAAGUAGACUUUUAUAAAAUUUCAUACAACAUCAUGGAAAAUCCUAAUGUAAUUUAUUUUUUAAUGUACCAAAAUUUAUCAUGUGUAACUUCCUGAGAGACAAAAUCUCUGUGAUACAUUUGCGGUAACGUUGAAAACUAAAUUAUCAAUUUUAUCUUGUAUAAUGAUAAUCGUAUUUUUUUGUAUAUAAUUUAUGUGACAUUAAUUCUUUAAAGUAAUUGUGUAAUUUUUUUAGUAGUACAUGAGCCCACUUUGUUUUAUUUCAUACGAGUUUAAUUAUGUUCACCAGGGAUUCGAGGAAAUGUCCGGUCCAAUCUAAUUUCGUUUUAAUGAUGCAGGCAGGAGAGUAUGCUAAGAAAAUGAAAAGUUUAGCCAAAGGAUUGCUAAAAUGUUCUACAGGUAAUUCACUUGAUUUAUUUUAUAGAAUUUCAUUUCCAUCUUCUUCUAUUGAUAUCUUGUUGUGAAUAUACAAGAACAAAGAAGUAAAGAUAUAUCAAAAUUUACUAUUACGAUGAUGCUAAGGCAAGCUCAAGCUCAAGCAUUGCAUUUUAUAUUUUAUUUAGUUAAUAUAAUUUUCAUUUCCACCUGCAUUUCAUUUUUUGGUUGACUUUGAAGACUCUAUGGAGAACAUUGGGGUAACCAAGGAUUAUCACUGUGGUUAUUGUGCAACGUUUGGUUGCUGGACUUUGAAGAAGGAAGUGAUGGCCGGGUCUGCUCUGUUUCAAUUGAGGAUGGGUAGCUGCCUGAAAGACAUGAUGAUUAUUAUUGCGUGAUGUUAAGGUGCUGAGAUCAUCAUUGCUAUCUUGUUUCAUUCUUGGAAUCAUUUAUCCUGUAUAAACAUUUGUUUUAACAAAUGUUUCAAUGCCUGCUGUAGUAACAAUUUCAUAUCUUGCAUCUCUCGGGUGCAUCGUGAUCACGGGUUUGAGAAAGCAUUUGUGGUAAAGCUUCAAAGCUUGUACAAUGGCUGUGAAAAGGCACAUUCAAUUCGGUACGUUUGGUGCGGUCUCCUAAUGCUACUACCAUAUUUUGUAUAGCAAUUAAAAUUCAGGUAUACAAUCUUAAUAUGCAAUAAAUCAUUGAGUACAAAGUUAUCUAUUAAUUAUAUGGUAACUGAAAUUUUCAUUAUAAUUUUAAUUACAUAUUAAUAUUAAAAUUUUUUGUAACCCUCUUUUACUUUGCUUGUACAGAGUACCUGUUUUGGCUGAUAUGUCUAAUUCGUAGAAAUUCAUUUCCAUCGGUUUCCAUUGGUUUUAGCACAAACAGAAACAGAAAUCUGGGAAAAAGUUUUACUUCUUCUGGUAUUAUGCCUUUAUUUAUUCAUUCAUCAUAUUUGUUCGAAUUCAUGCUCUCAUUCAGAGAGCAGCCUUUUCCAGGCUACUUUGUAGCCAAAUUUUCAUGCCAUCGAUGCAUGAUUGUCAUUUAGAUUUUCCAAAUAAUUGUUAGAUUGAAGAAGAAUAAGAAGAUAUUGUUAAAAGGGUAUUUAAUUAGCACCCUCUGAAUUUAGUUGCCAAUAAUGCAUUGAAAUGGUUGGGGAAAGUUAUUGUCUCAAUUAAAUUACAGGUGACAAGAUGCUGCUCCAAUUUUGCAAGCAUCUCGUGUUUCGAGAUUUUGCCCACAUGAGAUGCUAUGAUUUUUGACAUCAGGGUAACAAAGGUCAAAUUUUAGCAUCAAUAGAUAUCAUCUUCUUUACUGUUCUGCUCGAAAUAUUAAACUUUAGGCAAGUUGUUUUUGUUUGUGUGAGUUAUCAGGUUAAGGAUACUAAGCAGCUUAUUAAGGCAAAUGUCAGAAUGAAGAUUUUUCACCGCACCUGGUAUGAAUGAUGGCGAGGAAGAUUAAUUGUUCACAAGCCAAUUUGAUCAGUGUUAGAUUCUUUUGCCUCCCUUCGAGAGAUAUCAUCAUCAAAUUUGAGAAGAGAGUUUUGUUUUGACAUUUCACUGUAGUGAAUUUUGGGAGCUUGAACCCACUUCAGUGAAAUAUUAGGGAAUACUGGGGAUAUGGGUUAUGAGUGAUCGUUAUCCUUCAAAUAUUUGUAAGCUCUCACUUGUUAGUAAAAUCAUCUUCGUAUAUUGACUUUGUUUCUUUGUUGUCAGGCCGAGUGUGAUCUUCAAGGUUUGAGAAAGUCUUCGCAGUAAAAUUUCCACCACGUGCAAUUGCUGUGAAGGGGCAUAUACAUUUGAGUAAUUCAGUUUCAGAUUUUCAAGGCGCGUUUGUUUAAUUAGUUUCGAUUAUAAUAUUUAGUCACUCAUUCUGAAUCUUUUCUAAUUUUCAAGUUCUUUAGGGCCGCCGACAGUUUUUUAAGUCUACAUGUGGUUGCAAAAAGAUUGAUGGUCAUCAAAUUAUCUUGAGCCUUGAGGCAUUGCGUUCGAGCACAAAAGGAAACAGAACUAAGGGAAAUGAAGACAGUAGGAGAUGCUCUGAAUAUAACAAAAGUAUAUUUCUACUUCUUGUGGUUAUUUUAAUUUUGUUUCUCCUGUCAUCAUAUUUAAUUAAUUCGUUUGAAUUCACACUCUCACACAUUAUUUAAAACCAUCUGCAGGUGGUUUGCAAGCUAGCUAAGUUAAUCCAAAAACAAUACUCUAGACAAAGAUGAGCAAAUUGAAGGCGACAAAUGCAAAUUGGAUUUCCAUGAAUAAUUGUUAGGCUGGUGGAGAUAUUCUUAAAAGGGCAUUAAGCUAUCUUAUGGAAUUGGAAAGUUAUUAUUGCUUGAAAGCAAGCAGCAUCUUCGUUGCGAAGGCUUUCCCCACCUGAUAAAAUGCUGAGAUUGUUACCGGCCCCUUAAUUAUUUAUUAACUCAGGUAUUUAUUAUCAAUACAUCAUCUUAUUCACCAUUUUGGCUAUAUAUAAAGAUUAAAAUUUCUAACAGUUGUUUCGGAUUCUUGUGUACUCAGGUUAAUAGGGCAAAUAUCAGAAUGAAGAUUGCUCAGUGCAACCGAUAGAGCAAGGAUGAUAGUUGUGAGAAAGAUUGUUGGCAAGACAAAUAGAGUCCUCCAUUUGGAGAAAUAUCAUCCUCAAAUUUGAAUUGUCGAGCAUGUGAGGUGAAGCUAAAGCCUUAAUAAUGAGACCUUCCUGUGGAAGUUUCAUUUGAAUGAAUUGAACGUUCUUAGUGAGUGAGAAAUUAAGUAUAUAUCAGCGAUUUUGGUCGUCUGUGAAUGUUUCCCUUCAAUAUUAAUACACUGGCAUUUCUUAGUAAAUUCGCUUCACGUCACUUCCUCCUUGUUGGUGGGACUAGUAAACAAAUGUCAUUUCUUAGUACAUUUUGAGAAUUUUGAUUCCCAAAUAAGCCUGCAGAACGGUGUAUGGUGGGAUUAGCUGCAGGAUUCUUUGCCAAAAUUCCUUUUUAUUCCUUUGUUCACUUAUUCGUUAUAAAUAAAGUAAAAUUAGAAUAUUGUUCCGUUUACUGUCUAAGCUGGUCUAACAUUUGUUUAAUUUGGGCAAUUUUUAAUGCCUAACAGGUUAUCUGUGACAAACCCAUCGGUCACUAACAAUUUUGAAGUUAUUGGAGUAGCACGGCUUUGAGGUCUCUCCCUCCCUCUUUUACGUAUUUGUCUAUCGAUCGACAUGUCUAUAUAUACAUUGAUAGACCAACUUACUCUUGUUUUAAUGUUUUGUUUGUUAAACUUGACUGGGGAAUGUUUAUUUGUCUCAUAUGAUGUCAAUGUGGUUCCAAUUGAAGUGUAUAGAUCUGUCACCUCAAAGUCUGAUUUCAAUUUUCCUUUACUUCAUCAACUAGCAUCCUUUCCAAGUCCAGAUACUUACCAAUAGUGAGACUUUGCUACGGAAGUACAAUUUCUCUUGUUUUACAGUUAAUUAUGUAAGAAUAGUUUUAAAUUUACAGAAUUUUGAAAUAGCUCUCUUAAGGAAAUGCGAGUGGUGAAUAUGGUUCCAACUUUUAAUAGGCUUAAUAGGCCCAUUUGUUAAGCCACAGUGAUUGCGGUCUAAAUUCUUCUUUACUGUCUAUAUGUGUUGGAGUUUGUCUAUUGUCCAACUUCUCAAAUCGAUUCCAUGCAGGGUUUUGAAUGUCUAAUUAGGAGAAAGAUUAACGGAUGACCUUUUGAAGAAGGCUUACACAACAGGCCAUCUCAGGAUGUCAUGGCUCAGCUCAAAAGUCCCCAGGUGGUUAAUGACAAUGUGCCAUUGUUUCUGGGCUUGGUCUCCUUGGCAUCAAACAAGAUAAUGUUGACUCUAUUAAAGGGGAAAUAAGGGCGACUAAAGCGCGAAGAAAGAGGAUAGUCCGGAGGAAGGUGACUGCAUAAAUUUGUUGGAGUUAAUGUAGUCAAUUGCCUAAUUUUGCUGCCUGUCGAAGAGACACAUCAUGGAAGUCCUCAUCAAACUCUGAGACACCUAAGAAAUAGUAUGAGGUGGUGGUAUUCCCCUGGUGUUAAUUUCCUGGCAAGUGUGGUUCACAGAUAGAGGGAUUCUUUUCUUGAUGUCUAAAUACCGUAUGUGAUACAACGUCGUAUAUUCUAAUUUUCCUUGAGUUAAAUUCUAGUCAGUUAGGAAAGUUAAUUUUGUUUUCGCUAUGGAUUGUUUCCUAGAUAAAAAUAGUUUCCAUGUUUCUUUGGGGUCUUAUUAACUCUCUGUAACCCAGUUCAAGUUUGCAAAUUCUAUUUCAGAUUUCUCAUAUAGUGUGCCUUUGUCACUUCUGUGAUACACUUUUGAUCACAAGUUUCCAUUUGAAGUAACCAAUAUUCUUUAUAGACUAAUUAUCUAAGGAUUAUUUUAUACAAAAAAUCAAAACUUUAAUUAAUUGAUCAUACUUAACUUGGCUUUUGUUUGAUAUUACUAGCUGUUGUGAGAACCAAAAAAAUAGCAGAAAGUUGACAAUGUGCAGUAAAUGUAUGACUUUUAAAUAAUAAUUUAAUAAAAUUAAUAAAGAUAUUAUAAAUUUUUUAAUAAUAAAGUAUGAGAUCAAAUCAAAUUAAUUUUUAAGUCAAAAUUGUUUAAUUAUGUAGUUUAAAAGUAUAGUAUCCAACCUCAACACAAUAGAGAGAUUUCUAUUUACCAAACUCUACCCAACUUUGGUUGUACUGACUCGAUCAUGCAAGUCCAUACUCGACGCGUUGACCAUACAAGAUGUUACUCAACUUUAACAAAUCUUACUCAAACUUUGCACGUUUAGCAUGCCGAAUGGAAUAUGAUAGUAGAUGAUGUGAUAGAUAUUAUAGGAAUAGUCGUAACAAAAUUAUAUUUAGUACUUUUUUAUAUUUUAUGUGAUGAACAGAUGUAGUAUAUGAAUGGAUUAUAUUACAAAUUUUAGUGUUAUCAUAAUUAAAAAAUUGAAUUAUUUUUUAUUAUUGAAAAACUGUAAUAUGUUAAAUAACAGUUAUUUUUAUUAAUUUUUUUUAAUGAAUUAUACUUUUAAAUUAUAAUCGAAAAUUCUUAUUACUGAACUAAUAAAAAAUUAAUUAGCUCAAGAGAUAAAUUCACUUAGUGUAGAACGAAAUGGUGUGUUAUUUUUAUGUGGGAUCCACAUCCUUUCCACAUCAACCUCAACAUCCAAACAUGAAAUUGGACUAAAAAUAGUUCUUUCCCAUGUAUUUACGUAACCUCCUCCCACUAAACGCAAAUAUUUAUUCUUGAUUUUACUAACAUAAUUUUCUCCCAUUUCCAUAUUGUCCGCGUUGAGUGCAUGUAAUCCACAAGUUUAAUUAAUUUUUUUUUUUUUGAGAGAGGUAUGUUAAAAUGAAUAUAUCACAUUUUUUUCUUUUUUCCUUUUUUUUGCGUGAGUGAUGGCUUCGUUGAAUGACAGUUGGCUGAUAAUAAGUUAUCUUUUAAUUUUGUUUUUGAUUUAAUAGAAACUAUUAAUUUUUGUAGUUUCGGUAGAUGAAAUUUCGAAUCAAAUAUUAAUAUUGUUAAAGUACGCAACCCAAUAUUUACUUAAAUUACAAAAAAGAUUAAUUGCUUUGCAUAAAAAAGAAGUGAUCACUUGAUUUAACUUCCUUUACUAAAUUUACGAUUUAAAAUCCAAAAUAAAAAAAAGAGUUUAUUAUUGAUUAUCUUUUUCCCAAAUUUAAGCUAAGACAGUAAUAUGUCCAAAAUACCCUCCACGUUAUCCUAAAACUUUAUGAAUUCCCCCGUUCCUCUCAACAUCAUCUCUUCCAAAUCUUUCUUCCCCAAAAAACCAGCCAUGGCUUCAUAUUUAGUUACCUCAACACUCCAAUAUUGGCUUGUAAACAGCAGCGGUUCAACCUCUAGGCAACUUAGGUGGUUGCAUAGGACUCCGCUUUAUAUGAAAGCCCUACAAGAUGAUUAUUUUGUAUAUAAAAGAGGAAAAUGAAUUUAAAAGUCAUUAUUAUUCAUUUAAUUUAUUAUUAUUUUGUAAUUAUCUUUUUCUAAAUAAACUAUCAAAUUCUUAUCAAGUUUAUUUAAUGUAGUACUUAAUUGUUUUAAUUUCUACAAAACCAAUAAAUUAAUAGUUUCAAUCCUAAAAAUUCUCUAUUUCAUUGUUAGAAUUAAUAAGUUAUAUUUCAAAAGUUUUAUAUUUAUUUUAAACCUCUAUAAAAACCCCACAUUUUAUUACUUAUCCAUUAAAUUUUUCGUUCAACAAUCAAGACAUCUUGGUGUUUGAGAGAAAGAAAGAGAGAGGGAAAAAAAUCUUGCUUCCUCUACUUUCUACUCUAGAAGAAAAAGAAAAAAUCAAAUAUUUUUCUCUAUUUUCUAUGACUAUUGGUUGCUACUCAAAUUUUCAAACAACAGCCUUAAUAUAAACAUAAGUUAAUUUAUGAUUUCAUCUCAAAUUUCUGAUUUUAUCUUUUUAUUAUUCUCUUAAUUAAUUGUGUUGUUAUUUGUUCUUAUUUCUUUUUAUAUAUUCUUUUCUUCAUCUACUUUUUUUGUGCUUGUUUUAUCUAUUUUGAAAUAAAACUAUAUCAAAAAAUUUUAGACAAUAGGAGAAUAAAAAAAUUAGAUUAAUUUAAAAAAAUAGUAAAAAAGAUAUAAUUUAACUUAAAAAAAAGUGAAAAUGUUAUAAUUGAAUUAAAAUUUUAUGACUUAACAACAAUAGAAUAAAUUUGUAUUUAAUAAUUUUAUAUUUUAAAGUAUUUAAAGAAUUAAUUUUUAAUAAAUAAUAUUAAUAUAUAUAUAUAUAUAUAUAUAUAUAUAUAUAAGUUACUUAUCUCUCCAUCCGCACUUACCUCUCCCUCACAUUCAUCCUCAACCACACAUCAACAUCAACAUCAACAUCACCUCUCAUUGGACCCCACAUCCUCAAGCCCAUCACAGCCGUCCAUAACCUCACCCUCCUCCUCCUCUCCCUCAUCAUGGCCGUUGUUUGCCCUCUCUCCAUCAUCCUCCAUUUACCGCACCUCCGUUACACCCUCUGUUUCCUCCUUACCAUUUCUCCGUCUGGCACGGCCUAAUUCCGACGGAAUCAACGACGGUCGUGAUGGGUUUUGGCUGCGACUAUUCGCGCUUCAAACGGCGGCGUUUCGGUUGGUUUUUGGCGACAGUGACGGUGGGAAAGUGAUGGCUGGCUCAGGAGCUUUCGUUGCUACCAUCCAUGGCCGGUGAGGUGGCCGAAAAUCGGAUAUAUGUCUGCGUCGGGUUCGCAGUUUUGGGUCGGGUUUUCCGGGUCAGUUUGACAGCUUCCUCUAUCCCUCUCCCCCAUAAAACAUUACCCAGCUUCCUCUUAUUAUUAUUUUUUUUUUCACAUACGUUACAGAACAUUAAUGAGAGAUGUUUAGUAGUAAGGACUAUUUUGAUAUUUCGAUGAGUAGUAAAAACUAAUGUUAAAAUUUUAUAGACGAAUGUAGAGUAAGAUGCUCAAAGUACUAGAACAUAUAUAAAUAAUCCCAGCUCUUAUAAAAUUUUGCCACAUAAUGAGUUUUAUCCCUUAAGCAAAACAUAUCGAUAAAGUAUACAAAAGCACAAUGCAUGAAUGAUGGUCUUACAAAGUUCGAAUAUAAAGUUUAUAAUCUAAAAUUAAUGAUGUGACAAUUAACCUAAUGGAGUAAGAAGGCCCAAAUAGAUUAUAUUUUGCUAAAGAAGUAAAUUCUACCAAGAAUACCUCUUUCUAUUGAAUUUAAAUGAUGAUUAUUUGUUUAUAUCAUAAAAACUAAAAUAACUGUGUGAGUAAUUUGAUUCUUUUACAGUAUAAAAAUAAAUUCAGAAAAUGUUAGGGCAUGUUCUGUGUUUUAUUUUUAAAUUUAUAUUAUGAGAAUGAAAAUGGUGUUUUCAAGUUGAUAAAUUUUCAAUUGAAAUAUGUGUUUGUUAUUAUUUCAUUUAUCCUAUAUUUUCAAAAUGAAAAUAACCGAUAGAUAAAGUUAAAAAUGAUAAAAUAAUGGAUAUAUUAAGCAAUUUUACUACAUGCAAAUUAUUUUCUGUGUUUAAAGUUCAUAUAAAGCUUGUUUAUUUUUCAACAUACCAACUUACAACAAUAAUAAUAAAAUUUUUGUGAUAUCCAAUAUUAACUUUUUAAAGUAAUUAUUUUUUGUUAAUGUGUCCGCUGUUCAAUCGAUCUUCCUACUUUCUAUGCUUGAGAUUAGAUCAUUUGCUUCAAAGAUUCGAACUGGACUUAUAGUAGGAAAAAGAAUUUUCUUCAAUAUGAACUCUAAUUCUCUUUUAUAUAUAUAUAUAAAAAAAUCUAAUUCUCCUUUCAACAUUUUAACAUUUUGAUGAAAUAAAAAAUUAUUGGCGAAAGAUUACAUGCUUCCUUACUUUAGAGAACCAAAUACUCAGAUAGGUAGUGUAAAUCUCUACUGAUCGUUGGUGAUUUUAUCAAAAUAAAAUUCAAUAAAAUGUAUAAGAACACUUAAAUCCGUCCAAAAAAAAAAAUGACCCAGCAAAUAAAGAAAAGUACUGUGAAGUAAAAAUUGAACAAACCUAGAAAGAAGAGAAGAAGAAGAAUGGAAGAAGGAGAUUCGGUUCAUAAAUCAUGGAGGGAGAUGAGACUUAAGAGAUAGGGUUAGUGAGACAGACGAGGUCCUAGAGUCUUAAAGAUGAAGACUAUCUAUUAUUAGUUACUUAUUAUAAUGAUGUUUAUUAUUAUAAUUUAUUUUACAAUUUUUUUUUAUGAAACAAGUAAAACAUGUUUAAGUUGUUUUGUAAUUUAUAACUGUUAGAGGCAAGUCAGAUUCUGUGUUUUACAAUUAAAUUUUAUGAGGACUACUGAACGCUUAUUUUACUUAGAUUUAUAAAACGAAAAUGAGAAUGGCCAGUAAAAAACAAUACCGAAUGCCCACUUACUUCAUCUCAUACUCUUAGGUCACAAAAAUAGCAAUAACUCUAACAAAUUUAUUAUUGAAUGUGAAUGGUUAUAUAUCGAUCAUUUGAUACGUAUUUUUCAAGACAGAACCUCAAUUCAAUGGACAAAAGCUCCUCUUAAUUUUUCUUUUCUAUUUAAAUAAAAGAACAAAAGAAAUUGAUUACAGAGCCAUUACUUUUCCAAGAAUUAAUAAACGAAAAGGCCCAUAAUUUUUGUAAACCCACCCCACUCUCAAGAAAUAAUUACAAUAAGUUCAAAUUAUUUUUUAAAAAUUGAAAUAAAGAAGAUGUAAUUACAAUAAUUUGGAGAUUGAAUCAAAUAAAAUAAAAGGGUUAUUUUUACAUACCUCCCCUGAGGUUUCACCUAAUAUCAGUUUAAUAGAAAGUAUCUCCGUAUUUUUACAUCCCUCCCCUACAGUUAGUAUAAAGUUAUGUAUAUCAUCAGUACACAAGGCUAAAAUCGUAAAAGCUCAUUUAAAAUUCGUUUUAAUCGUAUCAAGUGGCAUCGUAAUCAAAGCCAAUAAACCACCAGCCAUGGCUGCACUCACUCCCUGAAACGCCAUCACAGUUUUUGAAUCCGGCCUAAUCAUCAUCAUAUCACCCUCACGGUCACCAUAUUUCCUGCGCAAGAAACACCCAACUCCACCCCAAACAAGCCUUUGAGCAACGGAAUAAGACGCCCACCAAACUGCAUUUGAUGGUGCAUUUGUCAAGAUUGAAAUCCCGGAGCCCAUAUACAAUCCUCUAACCCCAUCAUUUCUAACAAUCUUCCUAAACAUAUCAACCCCAUUUACGUAUCUAGCAUCGGCCCCAUUAGCCACCAUAAGCCUCUGAGUCAAAACAUCAACUGGGGUCCAGACAAGCUGAGCAGCCAUGGCAGCACUCAAUCCACCAACAGCACUAGCGACCGCCGCCGCCGCAGUAAACCCUAAGUCACUAACAGCAAAGCUGCCAACUUUAGUUAAAUAAAAUUAAUUUAUUUGCUUUGAUUACGAUUAACAGAUGCAUAUCUUUGUGAAAACUUUGACCGGCAAGACCAUCACUCUCGAGGUGGAGAGCUCCGACACGAUCGACAAUGUCAAGGCUAAGAUCCAGGACAAGGAAGGGAUUCCACCGGACCAGCAGCGGCUGAUCUUCGCCGGAAAGCUCAUCUUUUAAUAAACUUUAGGAAAAGACCCCAUCACCAUCAUCGUGACCAUCUGCUUCCCUCCUUGUUUGUUGUUCCUUCAUUUUCUUUUUAUUUCUUCUUCGUGGAAUCGGUCUUAUUUUCUUCUUCUCUCACUAUUGUAGGUUGUUGUUGGCAGAGGGACGAAUUGUGUUUAUUUGCUUUUAGAAUUGGCUAAUUUAAUUGAUAUAAAUUGUUUUGGUUGUGCCGCGGACAUAAAUUGAAGUUUAGUCGACGGUGCUUUCAUAGCAACAUUUGGUGCUGUUAUUAUGGAUACCAAGCUAAAGUAAGAUGACGUUGGACAUGUUAUGAGGUUUAGUUUUUUUGAAUUGAUUUUUUAUUUGAAUUUUUGGGGAAAAAUAUCAAAAAUGGAAAGCUUGAUUUUAAGAAAACAAGGAUGUGGUUUUGUUGGCGAGGUGGUACAGGGGAUUUUAGUUUUUGUUGGAUGAAAGAAGACUGUCAACCUUGAAAGGGUAUUUUCAUCCUCUUGUUAGUCCACUAACGGUCAACUGACGGAAAUACUAACUGCAGGGGAGGGAUGUAAAAAUACGGAGAUACUUUCUAUUAAACUGAUAUUAGGUGAAACCUCAGGGGAGGUAUGUAAAAAUAACCCUAAAAUAAAAUACCCAAACUAUUAUAUACAAGAACUCUUGAUUUUUGGGGUAUUUUAGUCAUUUUAUAUUAUCAUGGUAAAUUAGUCAAAUAAAACUUAUCUUAAAGCAACCUAAACGGUCAAAGACACCUAAGUUAAAAAAAAAAUUAUACGAAUGAUUUAAUUUAUUGAUUGUCUAUACGUUUUAUUGAUUUAUAUAUUUUAAAAAUAGUAUGAACGUAUUACAAUUAUUUUCUGACAGCAAGGUAGAUUUGUAAAAUAAGUGGGUAGAAAAUAUCCCCGUCCUCAAACAAAUAAAUGAAUUAUCGGUGAUGCAUGCUUUUUUCCAACUUUUUUUUUUUUUCUUUUGGUUUUUUGUUUUUGUUUUAAAUGGCACUGGCCCGACCACUACAAAUUAAUUAGAGAAUAUUUACAAUUAUGUAUCACAGCUGUGGAGUAGAAUUGGGGAAAUUAAAAAUGCUAAAAUUAUUGACACGUAGGGUGGGCGACAAUAACCACAAACAUUUUUCGUGUAGUGUAAGAAGAAUGCAACAACUCGUUUCUUUCAGUAUUUUCGCAACAAAAGCACGUUGAACAACUUAUGAAAUUAUUUCUCUUUUUCUUUGCCAGAAUGGAUGUGAUCGCUUCCCCUCUCCCGGAGCAGCUGAACUCCUUUGCUGCUUGUGACUUACCAUAAAUCUUCAAGCCAUUCAAGCUGUGCUUGAAGAUGCAGAGAAGGCAAGUUGAUAUAAGAUUGUUGCAUGGAAUAAGCAGGGCAUCUUCCGAGGCUAGAAGUUGGGCUACGAGUAUUCGUUUUGGACAUAUAAUAUAGUUUCCAAGCUUGCGAUGAGUCGAACCAAAUGCAGAACAACCUAGGCUGUUAUGCUCUGCGAUUGAACUAAAAAUUUCACUUCUUUUAUAGUCGUUUUUUAGUUUUAAGAUAUUUUUCUAUUUUUCUUGAUUCUUCUAGGAUUUUUAUCAUUUUUUCUAGAUGUUGGAUUUAAGUGCCAUCUGUUUUCUUUCUCUUAUUUAGAUUCGAAGAAUUUUAUUAUCAUAUAAUAUUUUGAAUUUGCUUAGUUUGUUAAAUUUGCUAUAUUUAGGCUCCUAUAAAUGGGAUUAAAAACCCUAAUUUUGUUCAUUCAAAUUAUUCUCAAUAAAACUUAUUAUUCAAAUACUAGUUUAUAUUAUCUAAUAGCUUUUUAGUGUUUCUGCAUCAUCAGCUGGUAUCAGAGCAAGUUCACUUGUCAUCAUGGUGCGACCACACAAUCAAAGGAGCAACCAUCCCGGAGACGAUGUUCAAAUAUUAGGUUAUCUCUUGUAAGCCAUAUUCAUAAAUGUAUUGAAGGAAAGAUACUUUUUUCUUGUCUUAAAUGAUGUGUGGGAUGGACGUUACAAUUAAUGGGAACCAUUCUUUUGUUGUUUAAAGAAUAGUCUCUACGAUAGUCAAAUUUUGAUUACUACACGUAAUCAGUUAGUAGCAAGCAUGAUGAGAUCAACAAAUCUUACCUUUCUUAAGGAAUUAAUUGAAGAAGAAUGUUGGUCAUUGUUUAAGCAGGUAGCAUUUUUGGGUCAAUUCUUCAAGGAUCGUGAUCAAUCGAUCAAAAAAUUGCAUUUAAGUGCAAAGGCUUGCCUUUUGUUGCAAAGAUAAUAGGGAAAUUCUUACACUAUAAAUGACCAAUAGAAGAAUAGAAAAUAAUUUUAGAUAGUGGAAUGUGGAAGGUAGAAGAGUUUGGGAAAGGUCUUCUGGCUCCUUUGUCGUUAAGUUAUAAUGAUUUGUCGUCCAUAGUAAAACAAUAUUUCUCACAUUGUGCUAUCUUUUCAAAAGGUUACAAUAUGUGUAAAGAGGAACUAAUUACACUAUGGAUGGCUCAAAAUUACCUUAAAUGUAGAAAAAGGAAGAGAUGGAGAUCCAAUCCAAUCUGAUAGUAGUAGAUUAUUUUAAUUUUUAUUAAUUUGAUUUCAUAGGAGUAGUUUUCAUUGUUUUGUUGAAAGUUGGUAAAAAAAAAACUGAAAUGAGAUGAUUACUUUAAAACAAUCUUCAAGAACUAAAAUAAUUAAAAAAACUCAAAAUAAACAAAAAGGCUUAAAAAUAACCGUAAUCCGAACAUUGUUUGAAUCCAUCCUAACUAGCCCGAAUAUGAUUUUAACCCAAACCCAACCUAACUCGCUUAUAAUUAUAACCCAAUGCGAUCCAAAUUCAACUUGAAUAUUUGAUCCGAUCUAAUCCAAUUUGAAUAUUUUAACCCUAUCAACCAGAAACCCAAUUAGGUUGAUCUGAACCCACGUUUGUCCACUCCCAGAGGGGAUCAUGACCCCACAAGCUUUGAAAGUUUUUUGGAAUUUCUAAGUGAAUAUUAAAAAUUAUGUAUAAAAAGACUGAUUUGACCCCUAAACACUUGAUAUAGAAACUUUAUACAUACAAUAGAAAUUUAAUUUUAUAUUUUGUGAAAUAAAGUCAAAGUAACUGAAUUUUUUUUUAUUUUGUUAAUUAUUUUUCUACUAUGACAAAAUGACAAAUAGCCUUGUGCCUAGCUCUUUGACUUUUAUUUUGCUAAUUAUUUUUUUCAUUUCUCUUGCAACAGUAACUUCAAUUAUCAAUCAAAGUCGCCAAAUCAAAAUCUCUGCAGCCUGCAGCUACAAGCAAACUUCUCAAAUUUCGAAAUUCCUUAUGACUACAUAAUAGCUAUAAAUAGAAAAAGCGUCUAAAAUAACUAUGUUUUUCUAAGUUUGAGCUUGAACCCCCUGAAGAUUUACUCCAUACGUAACAAAAUAUUAGUUUUGCUAGUAAAAUUGCUAACUAUGUUUUUCUUUGUAUUUCCGCUCAAGGAUAAAGAAAUUUCCCUAGACUUUUGUGGUGAAUAUCUUACGAACAUAUGACAAUUUAAUCUUUGGCUGAGACUUGUUUAACAUAAGAGAUGACACUUUAAAGCAAUAGGAGAGAGAGAUAAUAAGCUUUGUUCCCCAAAAAAAUCUAUCAGAUAUAUUAUGCCCCCGGUUGCUAUUUCUAAAAAUAGUCAUAAUUACUAAAAAAUAAGUAAUUCUUUUUUCAUAUAUUAAAAUGGUAAACUGGUGGAUAAAAUUUAAAAUAACUUUUUAUCUGUUUUGACAUUCGAAUUUUAAGCUCGAGAAGUCAAGCAAUAAAUAAACCUUUUUGAGAGGCUAACUAAAUUCUUAGUAAUUUCAUAUAAUUUCAUUUCAUCAGAACAGUUUUAUCAAAAGCAAUUUUCUAAAUCUUUGUGGAAAGCUUUAAUCCUUAAUUAUCUUUCACAUAUUUUCUUUGUAAUAUGAGGUAAGCCAUGGACCAUAGUAUGGUAUUUAUUGUAAAUAAAAUCACUAUGAAACUGAUUUUAUUAUUAUUUUUUUCACAAACAAAGUAUCUAGCUAACUGCAGAUGUAAUGAAUUACUAAUUACCAUUAUUUGAUUCGCUCUCUAAAAUAGUGUUGUGUGUUGAUUCUGUUAUGCAUCUAGGAAUUUCAAAUGUUAUGACAUAAGUUGCAUUGGAUAUAUGUAUAUCAUAGAUUACAUUAUGAAGAAGACAAGAAAUGGAUCCAUACGUUAAAGCAAAAUUGAAAAAAAAAAAUUGCUAGGAGAUGAUUUUAUCUGAAAUUUCACCUGCACGGUAUUGGCCACAUAUAAAUUUGUGAUGAAAUUCAUAACGGAUUAAUAUAAUUGAACGAAAUUACUCUAUACAAUUUCAUAAGUAUGUAUUAUACAAUUAAAAAUCUAUUGAUAUUUUCAAUAAAAUAAUAUCUCUACUAUAAGUGAUGGGAUAUAUAUUUGUGGGGAAUGACAAAUGUAGAAAAUUGCAGUAAUAAAGGUGGAAGUGGAACUUUGUAAUAAUUAAUUAAUGUGUUUACAAUUCUGUAAGUAUAAUAAAAUAAUAGUAAUAGGUAAAUUGUAGAAAAUUAAUGUGUACUUUAAGGCACAUUACAAAUGUCUCUUUCCUAAAGAUAUUAUUUUUCCCACCAAUUCAGUGAUGCAUAUAGGCUAAACAAAUAUACCUCCGGGAUACAACGAAUCACUUAUUUGUUUGCUUGUGUUUUUCAUCGAUGAAAGCAAACUUGAAUACUUUUGAAUGUUGCAAGCUUGCCGAGAAUCAAUAUAUUAUUCCCGUAGUAAACAAUAUAUUAGAUAUUUGAUGCAUAUAGUAUAGAUGUUAUACAAUAAAAUUUGUUUCAGCAAAGAGGGUUGAGAAGAGAGUGAUGUAGUAUCAUUAUUUCCAUGUUUAAAAAUUAAUUCUAAAUUAACUACAACAUGCAAUCUUUUAAUAUUCACAUGUCCUAAAUGAAUAUGCUACAAAAAUAAUGAGUCAAUCAUGUAAGCAGAAGAAACAUUAAUUUUAUUAAUAUUGGGCUUGAACAUUCCCAAAUACAUGUAUCCUUUCCCAAUAAAGGUACCACCCUUAGACAAUGCAAAUUUGCUUUGACUCAAAUAAGGUACCACCCUAAUAUAGAUACAAGAUUUUUCCUACCUUUAGAUACAUGAUAAACAUCAAUAUGAGUUAAAGUUUUUCCACAAGUGAACUCUAGUUGCACAUUCCCUCUAAUUGUUGCAAUGGAGGAAUUUCCCAUCUAAAGAACACUUCAAUCAUCCAUUGCUUUGUAAGAUGUGAAAAGGCUACGAUUCUUGUACACAUACUUGAUUGCACCGGAAUCUAUUCACCAUGCAUUAUCAUGUUCAAGAAUAUUAAUUUAAGAUAUUAUGGCCAUAAAUUUUGUCCACAAAAUUUGUGUUCGAACACUUCUUUUCUUUCUUAAGAAGUUGAUAGUCUUUUUUAAAGUGGCUAGGCUUUUCACAUUGGUCACAUGUACACUUUUUUUUUUUUUGUUGGUUUGAUUUUAUUUGGAAUCAAAGUUUUGCUUUGACAGUCUUUUUAAAGUGGCUAGGCUUUUCACAUUGGUCACAUGUACACUUCUUUUUUUUAUUUUGUUGGUUUGAUUUUAUUUGGAAUCAAACUUUGGCUUUUGGUUAUUAAUGUGGUCAUUAGACUGCUUAAGCUUCUUCUCCUCCUCCACAACAUUAAUUUCACAGGACAUAGCAGUCUGUUCCUCAAGACUAUUAAGUCUAAGUUUCUAUUCAAUAUGAAGACUUUGCCAAGCCUUCCAGGCUAAUUUCCUCUUUGUUAUAUUUAAGACUUUUUUCAUAGUCUUUUCAAGAGGGGGGAAGUUUAUCAAUAAUUGAAGAAAUAAUAGUAAACUUAUUACUUUUCAUGUUGUGUUGGUUGAAUUGAUCAAGAAUGCAAAAAUUCUCAUUAUAUUGUUCAAUCACAAGUCUAUUAUCAAUCUUUUUAUAACUAAAAAAAAUUAGAAGUCAAGAAUUUCUUACUUGUGGUGUCUUCCAUUAGGGGUGGGCAAAAUCGGGUUCGGGUCGGGUUCGGGUCAAUCCGAUCGGGUUUCGGGUUGUUCGGGUUAGACAAAAAUUAAUCCGAACGUAACCCGAAUUAUGAACCCGACCCGAACUGACCCGAACUAAGUUCGGGUCAGGUCAAUUGUUAAAUGGAAUUGGAAUUCGUAUAUUUAAUCAAAAACUCCAAAUUAGAACCGUUAGAGAACCGAACUGAAAAAACUUGAAAAGAAUGAAUCUGGCUAUAUUUGUGAACCAGAAACAAGCCAGCGUUAUGCUUACGCCAUUUCAUUCUAUCCUGUCACCCAUAGACAAAAUGAAUCUAGAUGCAUUAUGGCUUUUCUCCUUAAACCUCAAGAGCAUUUUCGUCCUCUCAGUCAAGCGUGAAACUGCAUGUACGAACUGCUUCGCUUUCACGCACCGGUAGCUACAGCGGCAAGAGCAUUUUCGUCCUCUCAGUCAAGGGUGAAACUGCAUGUACGAACUGCUUCGCUUUCACGCACCGGUAGCUACAGCGGAAGACCCAGGCCGAGAUAAUUUAUUUCUUCCAACCACAAACUAUGUUUUGUUCACGAAUUACAAACUGUGCAGCUUGUGAUUUCUGCCGUUCUGCGUAUGUGAGUGCAGCAGCGAUAUGUGUAGUGUUAGGCUGUUAGCUUAGGUUUUUUUUUUUUUGGGAACCCGAUCAGGUAUUCGGAUCGGGUCGGGUUUGAUCCGAACCGAUCACAACCCGAUCGGGUUUGUAAAUUUCAAUCCGAUCGGGUUUCAAUCCCAACCCGAUCCGACCCGAACCCGAAAUUUAUCGGGUCGGGUCGGGUCGGAUCGGGUAAAAUGCCCACCCCUAUCUUCCAUCAUGUACUUAGACUCCAAUAAGUCCUAUAUUUCUUUUGCUGUGGAUUUUGUUGUGGUACUUAUCAAAACAAAGUACUAGACAUGGCAUUGUAAAUGUGUCCUAUGCACACGUAGACAUCUUGCUUCCACUUUUGCCACACUCGAGUUUCUCAUCCUCACGUUCUUCAGGCUUUGAUAUUGUAAGAACAUAAACAACAUUGAGGCUUGUCAACAAGAAAUGUAAUAUUUUUUGCCAACGUAUAAAAGUUGUGACCAUCAACUGCUCUAAUUUGAUAAAAUCUACCAUUGAAUUGCGGAUGAGAUGAGCACAGUGUCAUUGUUACAGAAAGAAUGUCUUAAGAAUGUUGGGAAUAUAUAUUUUUAGGGAAUGACAAACGUAAUAAUGGCAAAUGUAGAGAGUUGCAGUAAUAAUGAUUAUGCCACAAAGAUAAUGAGUCAAUCAUGUAAUAAUGGCAAACAUAGAGGGUUGCAGUAAUAAUGGUGGAAUUUUAUUCUAAUAAAAUAAUGAGUUUACUACUCUAUAGGUACAACGAAAAAAAUAGUAAUAAGUAAAUUGUAGAAAUUAAUGUGUAUUUCAAGGCACUUUACAAAUAUUACUUUCCUUAGACGUUAUUCGCCCCCACUAAUUGAGUGAUGAAUAUGGGUUAAACAAAUACGCAUCGACGAUACAAUGAAGUACUUAUUUGUUUGUUUGCAUUGUGUAUCGACGAAAGCAAACCUAAACACUCUUAAAUGUUGCAAGCUUGUCAAGAAUCAAUAUAUUAUUUGCUGAUAUAUUGUUCCCGCAGUAAACAAUAUGUUGGAUAUUUAAUGCAUAAAAUAUAGAUGUUAUAUGAUAAAAUUCGUUUUAGAAAGGAGAGUUUAGAAACGAUUGUUAUAGGAAUGUUAUGUUCAUGUCUAAAUGGCCUAAACAUGGCCUCUAUUUAUAAAUAUACUUGUGCCCUCCAUUUGGAUUGUCAUUUUUCAUGAUACCCAUUCAUUUAUGGUCAUUGGAUCAAGAUAUGAUUUUAAUCAAUUGUCUAAAUUGGUCCAUCACCAUUUCAAGUGAAAUUACAAUAUGAAAUGAUACAUUCUUAAGUGGAAAGAUACCUUUUAUAUGGGACAAUUACUUGGACAUGUUUUUAUAAUAAAACAUCAUUUAUUUUGAAAUUGUUACAGCACUAAGAUUAUUCUAGGUUAAGUUAAUCUAUUAUAUAUAACUUCAGAAGGUUCAUCGGUAGAUUGUUUUAAGUUUUUGUCGUAGUUUACAAAGAUUUUGUUACUUGUAAUGUAAGAAAUUUUAGAAAUGUUGGUGCUGAGUAAUCUGCAAAAUUAUUAUGAAUCAGAGAAACAGGGCAGAUGUUGUACAAUUAUUGUUGUGGUGGAGCGGAAAGGUAGCCCGAGAUGGUGACUGCUAUUGGGAUUUCUUUAAUUUGCAGCAUAAAAGCAUUUACAUUGACAUCGACUCAAGGGUAAAAAUUAAAUAUCUCAUGUAGCAUAAGAAGAAUGCAAAAAUGCUUGAAUGAGCAUUCUGACUCAAUACACAAAAGCUACUUUCCCUUGAGCACUUUCGCAACAAAAGCAAAUGUAAAAUUUAGCAUUUAAAUCUAACAUCAAAUGGCUGAUGCCAUCGUUUCCAUCCCUUGGGGAAACUGAAUUCCUCUACAUGAUAUUACAGUCUGGAGCGGCUCUUACCUUAGGCAACUUAGGAUAAUUUAGGCGGUUGCUCAGGACCCCACAUUUAACCUAGGACCCCAUUAUAAAUGAAGGUUUCUAAUUUAAUUC
rnacentral:lncRNA from 1 species